rnacentral:lncRNA from 1 species
GAUUAUAAUAAUAUCCAUGCAUUUUUUCCAUUAGAAGAGAAACCACUCAAAGGGUGUAAAGUAUAAUCCACCUCAAUGAGGGAAACAUUGGACUAUUUUUACAAAGAGAGAAUACAUUCUUUGUUUUUUUUUUUUUUUUUCUUCUUCCAACCCCUUUUGAGAUCUUUUUUUUAAGAGAGGGGUUUGGAAAUUCAAAACUAAGUUAGAGAUCAAGUCAUUAAGCACAAAAAACCCAUUAAAGGGUUUCCAAAAAGAAGAAAAGAAGAAGAAGAAGAUAGAUGGUGAAAUCCAUGAAAAAGAAAGUGAAAAAGAAGAUGGUUAAAAAAAAAAAAAAGAGAGAUAAUGAUGUGAUCGAUAAUCUCUCUUCUUUGUCCCAUCUUCAAAUUCUUGUGAAUUCUGGUUCAUGAAAAAUCCCCAUCAAAUGAAGGAAAAGUUGAAAAAUAAUAUAGUGUUUUUUGGUUGGCAAUAAUUUCAUCUAAGCAUGGAGGAGGUUAAGGAUCUGAAGACAUGCUCUUGGCAAGGAAUAGUGAGCCCCAUGUAAUGAUCAAAUCCAAAUUCUUCUUCCGCUUGACGAAGUAAGCAUUGGAAUUCCGGGUGUGUUAAGAACGAGAUCGGAACGAUGAAACGACUUCUGUUCUCGCCGACAUAGACGGCGAAGUGGCCCUUGGGGACAUCAAGAGGGAGUUCUUCAUCGGCAUCGUAGGCGCCAUUGUUGGACUUUUUGCCAAGGCUAGAGCAACGUUUGAGGAUUUGUUUGAGGACGGUAGAUUGUGGGAGUUUGUUUCCCUUGAGGAUGGCCAUUUGUGAAGAAUGUAUAAGUGUUUUUGUGGUAAUUUGAAAGAGAUCUGUGGGAAAUAGGGAAUGGAAUAAAUCUCCUCUUAGGGCAGCUUGAAGAUUAGAGGAGAAAAAAAAAGGAGGGUAUGGAUAUGAAGGGGAGGAGAAAGGGGUAUUUAAGAAGAAAGGGGGUGAGAUUGAGAAUGAUAUAUGGAGAAGAGAAAGGAGUGAAGGACAAGCCAUGAGAGUGUUGGGUAAUGUGUCCUUAGGGAGAGAGAGAGAGAGAGAGAGAGAGAGGAGGGGCAAAAACCAAAUGGGUCUACUUUUGCUUUGUUUGUUGGCUAUCCCAAUGGCAACUUGGACCCAUUGAGAGAGAGAGGGGGGGGUUACUAUAGGUAGAAUAGAUUUUGAUCUCUGCAUCAAUGGUUUUCAUGAAUUUUCUUCAAGUAUGAAAAAUUGCAAACAUGGAAAAUAAAAAUCGCUACCUAGCUAGAAAGAAAUUAACUUUGAUCUAAAUUGUUACUAUCAUACAAAAUUUUCUUAUCGAAUUCCAAUUUCGAAAACACUCGUGAAAGAUAUUUGUAUCACUCACACUUUUUUCUCCACUCGUAAAUAUUAGAGGAUAUAAAAAAAAAUUACUUAGAGUUGGUACACUUAUCAAACUAAUUAAACGUGUUUCUAAUUAAGACGAUUUGAAAUUAAUCAAGAGUAAAUGUUUUCUUUUAUAAUUUUUAUCACUGCCAACUUUUUAAAUAUUUUAUCAAUUAAACCAAAUAUAUAAGAGAGCUAGGUAGAGGGAAAGUUAGUAAUAUAAUUGAAGACUUGGAUCAGUGUGGCUUGUAUAUAUAUUGACCUACAAAACUAAAUUUAGCAUUUUGGUUUUUAGUCUUGAAAAUUAGGUUUGUUUUCUUAAUCGUUAUUUAUCAUAGCCUACGUCUUUCCUAAUCAAACAAUUGAAUUGACCCAUUUAAUUUUCAAGUUUAUAAACACAACUUGGAGAGCUAUUCUAAAAACUUAAUCAAGAUUUUAAAGUCGAAAAUGAAAGUAAUUUUUAAAUUAAAACUCAUCAACUAAUUACUAUAUUGUUUUUGAAAUUUGAUUCAAUUAUUCAAAUAAUGUUUAGUUAUAAAAAAGAGAAGAAUCAACACACACAUUUGAUAUUUAUGUGGUUGAUUAGUAACGUAUUAACUACAUCCAUAAAACAAAGAGAAUAAUUUUAUUAAAGAGAAUGUUAAAGAAUACUAAAUAGUGGUGCCUUUAGGGUUAGAGAUCAACUUAUAUAGUAUAGUACUUCUCUUAGCCCUAGAGUCAUAACCGUAGAUAGCUAUAAAUAGUCAAAUAUGAAUUUUAUUUUGGUCGUUCGAAGAGCCAUCCAACAGAUUUAAAGACAUUCCAACGUAUAUCACAUGAGAUUGAUAUUUUAUACUUUUUGAAUUUUUAUUAAAGUGAAGAAAUGGAUAGAUUUUGAUCUUGCACCAAAACCAUAAUUAUCAUCAAGAGUUAGUUGCAUUACAUGGCGGCCAUAUUGAAAGGGUUUGUUUUGAAGGAGAGUGAGAGUGAGAGUUGAGAGUGAGAGUGGCCCCUAGUCGUUCUUGAGGGGGAGAGGGGCCAUAGUUUUUUUAGAAAAAAGAUUUUGGGAUUGGCUUAACACAUUUGAUAAAUAUAUAAAGUAACAUUCCAUCUAAAUUCUCAUGGUUGUGGGGUUUUAAUGUGAGAUCAUAAAAACUUUUUUAUUAAAAAAAUAUGAAAAAAUAAAAAGAAAACGAGUUCAAUAAUAUGAAUUUGUAUUUUUCCUUAUUAAAUUCUUUCUUCCAUAAAUCAAGUGUAUUUAUAAAUUCAUAUGGAUAGUAGAUCUAGGUCUAUCAAAUAUUUAAUAAAUAAUAUGUUGUGGAAGAGAAAAUGAAUACUUAUUUUUUAAUUAAGUAUGGAGACCAACCCAUAAAAUCGACCGUCUAGAAUUAGAGUUAUUUGGCUAAAUAUAGAGGUCAACUCGGGGUUGACCAUCUAGCCAUAUAUAUUUAUUAUUAGAAUUAUUGAGAAUGACCCACAACAAGCCACGUUACCUAAGUAUAGAGGUCGAUCCUUUAUGAUAGUAAAGAUUGUGGCUUAUUGCACCUUUUCACAUAUUUGGGUCACUAGUGAACAAAGAUUCACAACGAUUGGUAAAGACUUAAUUAAUUACGUAAGGAUUUAAUUAUGCAAAAAACAGUAAUGAAACCUAUUUCUAUACAAUUAAGAGGGCUUAUUGACAUUUAGGGUAAGCAAAAAUACAUUGCCCAAGCUUCCAUCCUUUAGCUCUCUUUCUAAACAAUAAUUGACUUGAUUGUUGGAGUGUCGGUGGCCAAGCACCACACCGCGACAAAUAUUUUCUAUUUCUUAAGGUGUAAAGUACCGUUGAUACCAAAUAUUGACAUCUAACAAAUGGAAACCAGUGAUAGAAUAUUUUAAAGUUAUUUAGCGUUAAAAAACAGGUAAAAAGUAGGUGUUUAAGGCCAUAUUGAGUAAAAUAAAUGGAAGAGUUAAAAUUAGCCUAGUUUGUGAUUUUUUUUAGAUGUUUUGAGAUUUAGAUUCUUCUCAAAUUGGACCCAAAAAUCAUAUCAAAUCUACAUUUAGAAAAAUUGAAUACCAAAUUUCAGCGAAUUAAACUUAAUUUUACAAUAAAAUCAAAUGAAGACACAAGAACUAUUCACCUCUUGUUCUUGUUCUUCAGAAGCAAGCACCAAUUUAUACUUUCAAAAUUUGUAUUCAUGUUUACCCAUUAAUAACAUGCGAGGGUUCUUCAAUUAUUUACAUUUUGUAUUCUUUUGGGAUUCAAAAAUGUGUGGAUACUCCAAGCAUGCAAUGACGAUGGCUUCAUAUUUGUCCAGUUUUAUGUUGAUCUACAUUUAGUCUAUAUGUUUCCUUGGUAUUGACUUUAUGUGUAAUUGUUAACUUAGAUUGAUCGCCUAAGUUGACAUAUUAUAUUGAGUAAAUUAUCCAUAGAGUUAAGUAAUUGCAAUAUUGGAGAAAAAUCUAAGUGUAGGGUUUCGUUUGACUCUUAAAAAGAGGGUAAUGUUUACGACCAUAGGAUAUAGCAUUUGGUUGUAUGCCUAACAACUAUUCAAGUUUGAAUUAGCUAUAGAUUUAUGUGUUUGAUUGGUUAGUCUCUUGAAGGUGAUUCUCUAACAAAGUUAAAUAGGAAUUGAAUUCGAUCCAUGUGGCUAAAUGUUAUUACCGAAGUAGACUGCAAAUGCAAUAUGAUCACAAACGAACUUAACUACUCUUGACUUGAAAAGGCAAAGAUGCAUGCACAUCUAGGCGGCAUGUUAGGUUGUGUUCGGCUUGAACGCGUGACGACAAUAAAGUUGUUGAAAUGUGAGAAUAAUGAGGUGUUAUUCCUCGUGAAAUAUGUGGUAGAAGAUAUUCUAUAUCCAUGAAAGCAUAUAAUAGGAAAUUCCAAUUUCGACAUAUUUAGUGUUUUCAAAACUUGGUGGUCGUUGAUGGAAUAGUAUUUAGACUGAAAAGGAGAAUGUUUUUUUUUCUAUUGGUGGAAUGACUUUCCAAAGUUAAAUUUGUUAAUUUAUUGGUGAAGGUUGGUUUGACUUUGUUGUCGAUGAAAUUGUUUAAUGUUUAUUUUCUAAAAAAAGUAGUACUAUUUAAGACGACUAUUAAAUAUCAUGAACUAAUAAUAUUCAUUUUUUGUUUAAAUACAUUUUUAUUGGCCCCCAAGUUUUUUUUUUUUUUUUUUUGAAGUAUAUGAUAUUGUUAAGUUGGUCCUCAUAUUUGUUCAUGGAAGAUGAUCAUAGAGUUGGCCACAAAAGGUGAUAGUCGAAAUAGAUCACUAAAGAUGGUAGUUGCAUGGAGUUGGAUAUGAGAGGUAAAUCUAUGAUAAUCAACUCCAACAACCACCUCUUGAAGUUUGGCCACAAGAGGUGGUCAUCAAAGUAUGCCGCCAACGAUCGUUGUAGCUAGAGUUAGAGUUAGGUUUCAAAGUGGUCGUGAAAGCAUACUACUAAAGAUAAUUGUUAUCUUAUUGAAGUUGGUCAUGGGUAACAACGGACGAAGGAAGGAUGAGAGAAAUAUGAAAAGAUAAAGUUUAUGAAGUGGAAGACUCUCAAAAUAUUUAUUUGAAUUAUGAUUUGUUUUGAGACUAUCUAUGAAUUUGGAUACCUAGGGAGUGAAGUUGAAAGUCUUUAAAGGUUUAUAUUAUAAUGUGAAUGAAAGAAAUGAUGUAUAAAUAUAAAAAUAAAAAAGGAUCCAUUUGGGGUGUCUACCUGAACUCACGGACUAACAAUGGAAGUGUACUGUUUGAGUACAAAUUCUGUUGGAAGUUUUGAAUUUUAGUGUUUGUUUGGACGUUGGAUUCUUAUUUUUCUUUUACAUUUUCUCUUUACAAUUAUGUAAACCCAUGUGAUCUCUCUAUGCUUUUUUACUCAUUUCUUCCCAUUUGUUUCUCUCAAAUUUACUCAAUAUUAUUUCAAUGAACAUGCAUUGGAAUUACCAUAAUUACUCUCUCUCUCUCUCUUUUCCCAAAGUACAAUUUAACUUUAACUAUUAAAAUAAAAACAACUUUGACUCUCAACUUUUUGUAUAUAAUACAUAUUUACUUUUUAGGUUUUUAAGGUUAAAAAAGUAUGACAUCAAAUAAAUUUGGCAUAUUCCAAUAGUAAGCUUAGUUUAAGGGUCACGUAAUCUUCUGAAACUAGAAGUUUGAUUGUUCAUUUUAAAAGAAGAUUAAUAUGUAACAUGAAUUUUUAUUAAUACAAUUAUAUUCGCUACAAACUCAAGAAGAAACUAAAUACUAACAACUCUUAAUAUAAGCCGUUUUGUUAGAUUACAACUACGACCUCUAUUUAAUAAACAUUUGGGUACUCAUGAUUUUGAUCUAAUAUCCUAAAAUUACGCUCAUGUAAAUUCUAUACCUAAUCCUUCGUAUGUAUAUUUUAGUUAAUUGUAAUGGAUAACAUUUUUAGUUUAGGAUUAAUAAUUAAGUGUAUAUAUGAAAUAAUAUUUUAAAAAGUUACAAAUAUAGCAAAAUGUAUUUAAUAUUGUGAAUUUUGUUAAACUUGUCAUUAUACCAAAAUCUUACCAUUUUGAAGAAGGCAAAUAUGAAAUAGGGUUAGGGCACGUGAAAGCAUGUGAGAAAGUUAAAAGGCGAACAUUUGGUACAAAAAUACAUUCAAACUAAAAAGCUUCAAUAUAUAACAACCAAACUCUACCAAUUGGGGUAUUAAAUAAUAAUAGUCACAAUCUAAUUUGUUAUUUAAAAGUACAAUCACUUUCCAAGUACUUUUAUUUGAUUAGUAUGGUACAUAUCCCUUAUACUUAAUCAGAAAUGUGACAAUUUCAAGUAAUAAUAAUAUCUCAAGUAAUAACCCACAAUUAAUUUUACUCUCUUUUUAUAACAAUGUGGGCCCCUUUUGGAGAGGAUAUUUUAUGAGGUCAUAUCUAAUUAUAUACGUACAUAUAUAUAUAUAUAUAUAAUUCAUUUACUUAAAAGAAAUGAAUUUGUAGAAAAUAUAUAACUUAUUUAUUAUUUAUUUGUUUUAAAUUUGUUGUUAUUUAUUAAAGAAGAAAGACAAUAGUGAUGGUAUGUCCUACGCAUUUAUUAUUAAGAAGAGCAAUGUCUGGUGAUAAAAUGAAGUGUAUCAGAAAUUCUUUUUUAUUUUAUUCUAAUUAAUUUACGUAUUUAUUAAUUUGUUGUUUUAUUUUUUAUUUUAUUUUUAUUUUUUUGGAGUGGUCCUUAUAACAUCACAGCCACUAAGUCAGAAGUGCCUACAAUACAAUAAGACAUAUAUCCCCGCUUUCUAUAUUACCAAAAACUUCGAUUUCUCCGUAGACUGUGCAUCUAUCCCUCUUUUUUUUCUCUCUCCAUAUAAAUAUGUACCUGUAUGUAUAUGUGUAUAUUUGUAUGUGUAUAUAUGUAUAUUUGUAUGUGUAUGUAUGUGUAUAUAUGUAUAUAUGUAUGUGUAUAUAGGACAUUUCUUCAUAUUUAUUAAACAUUUAUGUAUAAUGGACAGUGUAGUUUCAUUUUUAUUGAUUAUUUAUGCUAAAGGACUAUGAUUAUGUUUGAUUGGAAGCAAUCAAAAUCAUAGCAAAAGAGAAAAAAAAAGGGUAGCCCUCAUAAAAAGGCACAACUCUUCAAAAUUAGGGUCCUUAAAAGCAACUUUAGAAGCUUUUUUCAAACAUCUUAUCGACAGUUGAUUGCGUGAAUAACGGCCAUAGUUCCAUAGGUAGAAAAGGGAAUCUUUUGUACUUUUUAGGACAAUCAGUUGGUAAAAUAACCUAAACAAAAAAUAAAAGAAAUGGUUUGUUUUUCAAGAGGGGCAAAAAAAUAAUAAUAAAAUAAAGAAAAGAAAGAAAGAAAACUAAUAUUAGAUCCAAAAAUUUAAAGCUCUAUAAACAUGGUGGCUCGAAUAUUGAUUCGAGUGCACGGUAUCCAAUGUAUGAACUAGUAUAAUCAGUAGAAAAAGAAACCAAGUUUUGAUAAACUUGAUAAACCUCCUACUCUAUUUUGUUAUGAUACCAUGUUAAACUACAGAAAUAAUGAAAGGGUAAGAUAGAUAGGACGAAAAGAGAAAUCGAGUCACUGUCCUAAAAGGGACUCCUUCAUGUUGCAAGAAAAAGAAAAUUGAAUGGUGGAAAAAACAGAAGAAAAAUCAGAGGCAGAGAGAGAGUGAAAAGCAAAGGGUCCAUGGUUCACAUCCAAAUGCGGUGACCCGGUGAACCAAUGGGGUAAAAGGGAUAUUCUUUUGAGAGUUUGAUAGAGACUAUUCCUUGUGUUUGGCACAUGGAAGGCCAUGUUACUCUUGUCCCCAAGUCUUCUUAUGAAGAAGACAACAUAGUAAAGCAGAUCAACCUCAACUACUUCAAAACUGCCACUUUUUACUUUUUACCACAACUACAACCACAUUCCCCUCUCACUGCCUUCCUCAUUGCCUUGCUACUUCUAAUCUAACUUUUAAACCUUACUUACAAUAUUGCAUUGUAAGCUGUCGUAUGAAAUGUCCAAACCCCAAAACAAACAUUUCGACUAUAGCAAUCUGGCUAGAAAAGGUUAACCCCAUGUGGGAUGUUGUCGUAAGGAUGAUCGGUUUCGUGGGUGUGUUGAAAAUGUAGACAGCAGUAGGUGUCGCCAAGUGCCUGAGACGACGCGGAGCGACCGACGUCCUCAAAAGAGCUAGUUUUAAAAUAAAAUACGAGUCGUCACCAAUCUUUUUUACGAUGUGAUUGGACACCGAAAUAAAAUAAACAAUUUUUAAAAAAAAUAAUCUGCGAAAAAUAGAAUUGAGUUCGGAAGUCAUUUGUGUGUGGGGAAGGUAUUAGCACCCCACAACACCCAUUUAGAAAAACGGUGGCCAAAUUUUAAAUCUUGAAUUGAAAAUAUUUUUAAAUUUAUUUUAAAACUAAUGUUUUAUUUCAUCCAUCAUUACUCCAAUAUUUGAAGUAAUGAUCUCAUAGAAUAAGUGGAAUUAUAUUCCAUUAAUUAGACUAUAUAUUGAAGGAAAGUUUCUCACCUUAAGAAAAUGAGAAAUUAUAACAAUUUCUCAAAAUCUAUCAUAGGCUAGUCUUUGAAUAAAGUUUUUUUAAAAAAAAACAUUGAUUAAAUUCAUUUUUUCUUGGGAUCAAAUCUCAGACUUCCAAAGAUGUGAUCCCUUACCUUAAGAAUUCUAGAAAAUCGGACUCCCAAAUUUCCUAGAUUCCAUCAUAGGAAUAUUUUUAGCGAAAUAGAAGUGAGUUAUUAAAAAGUUGAUUAAGGAAAACAUAUGAAAUAUAGAUUUAUAUUUUAAACAUUUUUUAAAAAAAAUUAAAAGGAAUAGUUGUAAAGUAAAAAUUUCUAAAUAGUUAAAAAAAGAAAUUUGAGAAAGAUCUUUAAAAUUAAGUCAAUAGAAAAUAAAUAUAAUAUACCCUAAAUUAAGCAAGUAACAUAAGAUUUUAUUUUUUUAAAAAAAAUAUUGGGAAUCGAAUCUUGGUCGAUUAUAUUUUGUUACAUUUAUUUUUACAUUUUAAUCAAUAUCUCAUUUAGUUUCAUUUUUAAUAACAAAAUUUUCAUUUUCCUAAAAUAAAUUAAAUGAGAUAUUUUGAGAUUUUGUGAAAAAUAAAUUAAUACAUCAAAUGAAUAUUAAAAUACUUUUAUUUAAAAUUGAUUUUCUUUUUUCUUAAAAUGAUUUAGUAAGUCAAAAUUGAUAUUAGAAGACUUUAUUUAAAACAAAUUCAUUUCUUUUUUUUCCUAAAACAGAACGAAUAUGAUAUUAAAAGAUUUUUAAAAAAUAAGUUGGAUUUAUUUUUGUUUUCUAAAAUGAUAAAAAUGAAAUAUUGAAAAAUAUUAUAUUAUUAUUAAUUUUUUUACCUUUUUAAGAAAAAUAAAUAAAUAAUUUAGCAAUUAUUACUAAUAUUAAUAUUUUAAAAAAUAUAUAUGUGUAGGAUAAAAGUGUGGUUACAGCAGGCCGUCACCUUAGUUUUCUGGUUGGAAGUUUAGUUGUGAUACGUAGGAAUUCAACAUUCAAACCACAUUAUGUAUACAGUUGAGAUAGUUGAAAAAUUAACCAAGGAAAAUAUGACUAAUGAGGGUCUAGAGUAUAAGAAACCUGGAUUAGAAAGAUAUACAUAAUGAAAGAACGAUUGAUUGGGAUGGGAAUUGAACAAUUGGACCCAUUUAGACACUGAUGGAGCAAAAAUAAAAUUUGAGGAUAGGAUUGCGCUGUACCUCGUAAGCAAAUGUGCGAAACAAGGGCGAGAUUGAUACAAAAUCAUGUCACAAUGAACAUGACUGCACAUGCAGGUCCAAACCAAAAGCAGGGCCGUAGGGUCCCAUCCCCAUUAAAUGUCAUGUACUAGAGAAAGGUUUGUGAAUGAUCUGAUCAUGGGUAUUCUGCGACAUCCUAAGAACUUUGCUCUGAAAAAAAAAUUAAUAUGCAAUCUCCCUUUGCUUCAGAAAGAAGAAUGCAUAGCAAUGACUGUGAAAACAGAGUAAAAUUGAAGAUAAUAUCACUUCACUGAAGCAGGGUUAAGACACUGCUCUAUUAUAACAUUCAAAUGUUACUUUUAGAUCUGGCCGACGAAAAGCCACCUUAGUUGUUAGGCCUUCGAACAAGAAAACAAAAGGUACCCUAUUAAAGUUUCUAUUUGCAAGUUAAAUGUAUUGAACAUUGCUUACAUUUCAUGUCUGCUUGAUCAAUUGAUAAGUUUCAUAAUACUGUUAAGACUUAGAAUGAUGGAAUGAAUGAUACAACCUUCCAUAAUUUUCCCUUGAAAAUUAUGUAAGUUCCCUUUAGAACACUACUAGUCCAGGCUUGAGUUGUCUAAGUCUUUGAUAAUAAUAUUUUACAACUCACAAUGAACUUAUGAAACAGCAACAUGAGAGUUUUAUUCAAAAUAACAUUCCAUUGGAAACCUAAAGCACUUCUUUCUGAUGAACAUAAAAAGUCGCUAAAUUUAGGAAUGGAAAAGAUUCUAAAUUUGUUCAAACCAAACAAGAAAGAUCAAAAUCCAAUUUAUCCUUUAAAAAAGAACCCCAAUUUUUGACACAAUCCUUUAAUCUUGCCUGAUUAAGGAAUAGAAAAAGAACAAAAUCGUAUACAUAUUUAAAGGGACCUCUAAAGAGUAUAAUUUCAUAUGACAAAACCAAAUGUCAAAAUCUUAAAAGAAAACGCAAUAGAGAAUCUUCAACUACAAAAGUACACAAUAUAGCCAAAAGGCUAAAAGAAACUUGGAGAAGCCAAAAAGUCAAAGACAUCUAAGCUAGCUAUGUAAGCUCCAAAUUUAAUGGUAAAUGAGUAAACUGGAGAAAUCAAAAUUCUUUAGAAAGGAUCUAAUUAUUGCAGCACCAGCUCUAUGUAAUGGAAGGACAAUAAUGUAUUUUAACACGAAAGACAUCCUAGUGCUACAUUAUCUACCUAUUUUCAGAUAGCACUUUAAGAGCAUAUAGAACCCACAAAGAAGCCUAGAGUUCCUUGUCCAACAGAUCAAAACAAAUCGAACCCAUGAAAGCAACAGAGAAAUAAUAACAGAGUGGUCCUUGCCUUUACAAUGGAAGGUAGAGAGUUAAGAUCAAGUAAUGCCCAUCACAAAGGUCCUAGUGCAAACAACACUUUCACCAACAAGUAAUUCCAUUCAACAGUAGUUAAACUAACGGAAAAGUAGGUGGAAUUCAUUCUCAACUUAGUUUAGAAAAACAACUCAAUGGUCAUGCGAAGAUACACAGCAUUUACAAAGCUUGGCAGCUCAUCGGGAAGUACGGCAAGAUUUCAAACCAUAGAUAAAUAAAUGAUGAAAACAUAGUGGUUAAUGUUGCUCCUAGACGCCUAGUUUGUAGGGAAUAAUCUCAAUGAAGCUCUAAAAAAAUGGGCACUUGAAGUACCACCAAUUGAAGGUCACAUUCUCUCGUGGUUUCUUAAUUAAUUUCACAUGAUAUCCCAAGAAAUUUAACUGAAACAUUAAGAAGGAAUCACUUGGCAGGAGUGAGACCUAAAAUGCGCAAUCUUAUCCAAUUCUGGUGGCAAAUGGAAAUCUAGUUCUAGCAAUCUCGAUUGCAGUAAUUCUUUACUACAUUGACGCUAUUAUAUUGUUGAGUGAGUUCUUAUUCCUUAAUAAUGCACAACUAGGGUCUUGUAUACUGCAACACGUUGAGCAUUUUGGUUCAACUUUCCACUAAAUGGGGUUGGAUGGCUUCUCACGUGGUUUCUCCAUGAGAUCCACGCGGAUAUUCAUGUUAUUUGAAUAUAGAGCCAAGUAGCCACUGGCUUUUAUUAAAUAAUAUUAUUUUUUAAAGAAGGGGUAACCACUGGCUUGUCAACUCAUACAUACAUCCUACCAAAACAAGUUGAAAACUGUCACCAAUGACAUUGUAUUUCAUAUAUUCAUUUCUUAAAAUUGUUGCCAAUAUGUGUCUAUGUGCAUGGCUAUCAUCCUCUGGAUUCAGAGUGCCGAGUGUCUCAGGAGAAAGAUGGGCAAGGCAGGAAGUUAACAGCACUAUACGAUGCCUGGACAUAUAUAUGUCUCUCUCCUAUGGCUUUCUAAUCUAUAGAAACCAAAAACCUAUCAAGUCCCACAUAAUAUCUCAGCACUUGAUUUCUUCAACCUUAAAAUUACAUAUGAAUGGUUAACAGGCUCAUCAAACUGCCACGGAAAAUGAAUAGGCCAAUACUUUCUUUAAUCUGUGAAGUGAAACUUGUGGAUGUUGGAAGGGAAGACCUCUGUUAAGGCUGAGAAUGCACGAAGCAACUUGAAUCUAUAAAGUAUAGCUUUGACGAGGAGACCAUCUUAGAAAUAGGGUUUUAGAACGUUAGAAGCAUCAAGUAUCACAUCAUCUUAAGAAUAUCCUAGCCGAUAAGAUUUAUUCAGCCAUUUGGUAAACUAGUGAGAUAGAGAACUUAAAAUGAAAAAUAAAUUCAAUGACAAGUUCUAACGUUUUAUCCUCUGUCAACAGAAGAAACUGAGACAAAUUGAGUCUGAUCAAUGACGCAAAAAAUCUAAAUAAGUAAAUGAAUGAAUACAAUUCCUGAAGAGCAUCAGGUGAAACUAAAAAUAUAUGGAUUAUUCAAAUGUUUGUUCAAAGGAAAACGUCAACAAAGAUGUGAAGCUCUUUCAAGCAGACAUCAUCUUGAUGAGGAAAGGUUUUGGCAGUGAUAUCAAUGGAUGAGAACUGAGAAGGGGAUUAGACUGAAGGAACCAGCCAUUUGCUCAGCCGAAAUGAAUCCGUACAAACAUUUGUUAGGAGUGCAUGUCAUUAGGAUCUCAAAGUGGAAAAAUACAACUGCUAUUAAUGAAAGGGAAAAAUUCAACCUGUCCUAUUGUCAAUGCUGCAAGCUGUAUGAAUUAUCUAAAAAGAAAUUCACGAGUACCUGUACCUCGCCUGGGAUAUAAUCUUUGUUGGCAAUGAUCUUUUGUUGUUUUCACAUCAUCUUCUAACCGAGCCAAAAUUGUUAUAACAGUCUCAUUAUUUGCCUUGUUGCCUGGUAAAAGUUAAAACGCAAAACUACAGAUAGCAAGAUGUGCAAGGAUGGGGAAGAGGAAAGCGAUGGAAGCAGGUAACUUGAUGCUCGAAUUGGCUAACCACCCACAAAAAUACGUACUUUAGGAGGAAAAAAGGAGGGAAUGUGUUUGACUAGUCAGUUAAAAUAACUGAGAAAAGGCACCUUUGUGCAUAAAAAAAGUAGGACUCAUCGAUUAAGGUAGUUACAAAAAAGUAUAAAGUAGAUGAUGUAAGCGGUGGGAAGAGCUAUACAAGUACUGAACUAAGUAGAGGAAGAUCCCUAGACCUCACGGAUAAUCUGAGGACUUGUACUUUCACCUUCUUAUUUUGUUCAUUGAUGUUUAGAACUGCCUUUAUGUGAUUUACAUAAAACUGAGUAGUAAUACUGGAUAUAACUAUGAUACAAACUACGCUCUUAUGAUCAAUGAAACCAUUUCAUCAUAGCACCUCAAAAUAAACAAUUUCCUCGUAAAUGUCAACUUGAGCCGUUUAACUUUUACACAAGGUUAUUUGAGUAGUGCUCAACUUGUGAUCUCUAUCCAGCUACAUGCAACAUCUUUAUACAGCCCUUCCUUUCUCACAGAUUCCCUCAAAUGCUCUAUCUCGUUCCACAAGCCAAAACCAGCAUAUAGAUUCGAUAGCAUAACUAAUAUCCCAGUAUUCUGAGGAUCCAAUUCAAGUGCCCUACGAGCUGCCAAAUUGCCCAACUUAAUAUUUCCCUGUUCCAAGCAAGCACGGAGUAAAGCUCCCCACAGGGAAACAUUGUAAUCCCGACUUUUGAUAUCAUUUACGAGCUUCCAUGCCUUUUCCAAUUCCCCAGCUCUACAGAGCAAGUCAGCCAAACAACUGUAGUGCUCUUGACCAGGUUCCAACCCAAAAUCACUCUGCAUGGAGUCAAAAUACUGGACUCCAAGAUUCACCUCGCCAGUAUGACCACAAGCUGAUAUGACUGUCACAAAAGCCACCCUAUCUGGUUUGAUCCCUUCCAUCAACAUCUGGUUGUACAGUUCAAUUACUCUUUUGUAACACCCAUUUCUACCAUAUACACUAAGCAUAGAAGUCCACAUUAUAAUAUCCCUUUUCCCAUCUUCUUGGCGUCCAAGUCCUGCAAACUUGAAUACAUUCCAUGCUUUUUCCACCAUCCCAUUCUUCCCAUACAUUUCAACUAAUGUGCUUUGCAAAUGAACAUCACUUGUAAUAUCAUAAACCGUUCGCAGUAUAUAAGCAUGCACUUGCUUACCUAGUGCAAUUGCAGAUAAACCAGUGCAUGCUCGUAAAGAAGCAGACAGAGUGAACUGGUCAUACUUCAAAUCCAGACCCUGCAUCUUCCGUAGCAAUUCAAGUCCUUCAACCCACAUCCUAGCCUCGCCAUACCCAGCCAGCAAUGCAUUUGCGCACACAGUAUUCUUCAUGGGCAUUUCAUCAAACACUUCAACGGCAUCAUAAAUCAAAGAAUUUUUUGCAUACAUAUCAACAAUCGCACUCCCAACAAAAACACUACACAACCAACCUGAUUUCCCCACGAAUGCGUGAAUUUGUUUUCCAUACACCACAUUCUGAACAAAAGAACAACCAUUCAAAGAGCUGCAAAGGGCAUACGUGUCAAUAGGAACCCCAUUAGAAUGCAUGAAAGAGAACCCCAUUAACGCAAAAUCUUGAAACCCAUGUCGAGAAAAGUCAGAAAUCAUUACAUUAAAGGUUAAAGAAGUUCUGGGGAUGAUGCAUUGGAAGAUGCCGUUUAAGCUUUUCGCAUCAAAAUUGGGGAUGAUUUGGGAGUAGGAUAGUAUAAGCUUAGAGUGAAGAUUCGGGGAGAAAAAUUGGAAGUGGGUUCUAAGCAAAUGAGCGUGAAUCUUCUUAAUGGUUUUGAGAUUUUUGAAUUGAGAAGAAUGGUGGAAGAAACUGGCGAAGGAAUCAAGACUUCGUAUAGACAUCAAACAAAAGAAUGGAUGAAGCAACAGAAGGAAAGAGCAUUUGGAAGUCUUUUUUACUUUCAUAUUUCAGGGGUACUUUCGUCAUUUGGUCGAUAUCGUUGUGACAGUUGAGAAGCCACAGUUAAAGAAAUAACGACAAAUUCAGGUUUCAAAGUACUUAAGUUUAUUGAUUUUCUUUUGCCCCUAAAUUUAGUGGAAAUAAUUUUUUUGGAAUAAGCAUCAAUUUUUAAUAUUUGAAAAACAUCAAAUUACAAAAAAAAUAAUGAAUCUAUUAAUUAAUUUAAAAGAAUUAUAUAUAAUUAGAUAUUUACUAUUUUUUUUCAUUAUUAUUAAAAUUAACUUUAUAAUUUUACUUUAUAAUUAAUUUUAGUUAAGGAACGAAGAAAAAUGAGUAUUUGGUCAGAGAUUGAAGAACCUCAAGAUCAAAUAGAGACAAAAUUUAUAUCUCAAACUUUAAAUUCUAAGAACUUUGUUGAGAACAAACUUAAAACUUAAAGCUAAAAUAUAAUGUUUCGAAAUAUAUACAUUAUAAUAGAAACUGGAGACAAAAUUUAAGAAGUAAUUGGUUUUUCCUAAAGAAAAAGAUGGUAUAAGCUUGAGAGUAUUAAUUAGAUCUCCAAAUCCAAAUGGAAUCCUGUUAUUCAUAUUAUUAUUUGAACUAUUGAGAAUGGUUUUGAAAAUUUUAAAAUCCUUGUGGCAGAUGACGACAUUAUUUUGAAAUAUAUUAAAAUACUAUGAUUUUUUAACAAUUAAAUUGCACUUAACAAAACCAAAUAUAGUUGGCUUAAAUUUAAGGUCUAUAGCCUACAAUGAAUUUCUCGAUCUCAAAUUAUACUUGUGAUUUUAAAAAGUAGAUAAGAUUCGUGUUAUUAUGUCAAAUGGUUUGGUUUUUCAUCAUUUUAAUUGUUUGACUAAAGAAACAAAUAGGGUAAGACUCGUGCAGUUUCAAAAAAAAAAAAAUCACUAUAUAAUUAUUUAAAACUAAAGCAAGUGUUAGUAUUUAGUAAAAAAAACUAGGUUAAAAAAAUAAACAUCGAAACGUAGAGGCCGACUUGAAACAAAACUAAGUAUAAAUAACAAAAUUAUAACAUUUUAAAACUCAUGGACUAAAUUGAAGCCAAAUUUAACCUAAUGACCAAGAGUGUAACAUUUUAAAACUUAAAUAUCAAAUAAAAACAAAACUCUAAACAAAGUAAAACAUAUUUUUCCAGUAAAAGUGCUUGGCAUACUUUUCAAGUGUUUAAUGUUAAAUGAAAAAUACAUGAAAAGUCAUUUUAGAAAAUUUUGAAGUGUUCAACAACUCAAAAAUAGAACUUUAGAAAAAUGAGUUUGUAUAAUAAGUUGGUUUAUGAUACACUUGAAAUCAACUUUUAGAAAAAACUAUUUUUAAAUGUUUAGAAGUUAAUCUCUCCCUAAUUUGAAUAGUCCUUAAAAUUACCAAAACGUCUCAAAAGUCAUCUACCUCAGUUCUAUUAUGUUGUUGGCUACCAUUGCUCUCUACUAUUGCGUGACCACCAUCGUCCCCAACCACGUUCAACUACCAUCACCAGAAACUCUAACCACCACCACCAUUGACCACCCUCACUUUUUUUUUUUGUAAUCAACCAACUUUAGUGACUAUUAUUUUAAAUUAUUAAUUCAAAGUAUUUUGUAGUUGCUCUUUAUAGUACUUUAACAUUAAUAAGAACAUUCUUAUCAUAUAACAAACAAAAGAAACUUGUAUAUAUAAACACACAUUUAAGAAAGAAAUUAUAAAAAACACACGUAUCUUUAUUUUAAAUAGUUUUUAUUAAAAAUGUUUAAUGACAACGACUUUAUGAAAAAUAUCUUUUUUAGCCAAUCCAACCAGAAAUCAUUGUAUACUUCCCUCUCAUAGAGUUAUUGCCUCAGACGAUGAUUAAAAGAUGAAAGAAAAGCCUCAAAAAUGGGAAGGGAGAGAUUGUCCACCACUAUACAAAAAAAAUCAUGUUUACAUUCAUUUUCAAAUGCUAAAAAACUCUACUUCCCAAGCCUAAAAGUGAUUUCAAUGGAAAUAUCUUCUCUACAUGGAUUAGUUAGGCUCCCCAUUGGAUGACCAAAGCCAAAUUUUUCUUCAGCUCUGUUUUGCAAAUCCUAAAAUGAAGGCUGUUUUAAGUAUGAUAUUGAAACCACAUUACCUGCAAAGAAGCCUUUUGGAACCUUCAAUGAUGUUGAGAUUCCCCUUCUUUCACUCAAAACGCACCAUUUAAGAACUUCCUAGGUGAGAAUAGCACUUUGUAAGUGGAUUCCCACGUUGGAUUUUUCGUAACAAUUAAAUGAAACUGCAGACUAAGUUUACGUUUGUAUUAGUUUAGGAAUGGUACAAAAAUGAACCGAUAUCCCAUCUAAAUAAAAGAAAUCACGAGAAUAUAAAAGUAUGGUUAAGAAAAGCUUAAAAAAAUAAAAAUUUACUUCAUAUAUCAAUAAAGUGCACCUCAUAAGAAUUUCAAAGUCAAGUGGUGCUUGUUCAUUUGUGAGGAUAGUCUUCAAUCUUAGAAUAAGUUUUAAGACAAGUAUGGUGUAAUAAUAUCAUAAAAGUUCUGAGGCAAUGGAGAGAGGAAGAGGCAGGAGGCAGGUUAGCAUAGUUCACAAGGGCUUCACAUGGGUCUGUCUUCCAACUUGCAGUUUGGGUUCAGGGCUAAGAAAGUUACACUGUCACAGUUUGGUCCUAAACAAAUGUCCUACAGAAUCAACCAUAACCCAAUUUGAGGACCAGCAGAAGAUUGGAAAGGGACGGCUGGAAGGGUGAGAACCUUAAAUUUAGAGGCACAGUUAGGUGACUCUUAGGGAGGGUGGGGAGAGACCAAAUAUGUGAAUGUUGUCCAAAGAAAGCAACUAGGACGGAGUGGGUGCAAAUUCAAAGAAAGCAAAAGAGACAAUUCUAUGGGAUAACAUUUACAUACAAAACCAACAGAAAGCAGAUUCCCUCUCAUGUGGGUUUGAAAGAAAAUUACAACAUAAAUGAAUGCUAGAUGAUUUCGACUCUUUUUACUGUUGAUUGAAACAUAUACAAAGCUCUCACGCAUUCUUUGUUUUUUCCUACCUUAAAUAAAGAAGCAGAAGAAGCAGAAAUACAAUAAAUGCAGAAAAUCAGGACCACAGGAACUCGCAUUGGUGGUUACUGGUUAGUGUAGGAAUUUGAAAAAUCUUCUUUCUACCCUGCAUAGACUGACAAGUGGGCUUUGGGGAUUUCCUGAUUCAUAGGGAAUGUGCUUAGGAAAUAAAAUAGCCAUGGUUGUCAGUCCAAGAAGAGAAUUUUCAGAAUGAUUAGGAAUUAUGCUCAAAUGAAGAUAUUUAAGACAAGGAAUGGUAGGAAUAGCUCCUGAUAUUGACUAAAAACUGAAAUGUUGUUAAACGUGCUAAUUAAGAUUGGGAAUGAUGUGAUGCAUAUUUAGUUUAAAGAGCCUAAAGAGCCAUGUAGGAUUUAAUAUCUUGUGAGUUUGCAUGUUGUCCUAUGAGAUUAGUCAAGAUGCACAAAAGAUGACUUGAACACUCAUGGGCAUAAAAAAAUGGUACUUACCAAACGCUUUAUAGAAAGGCUCCUUUGUUGAUCAUAAAAUGUAUGAACAUUGGAAUAGUGGAUAAGCCUUCAGACAUCUAUAACUAUUCUUGCAAGAAACAAUUUGGUCUUAAAAAGAUGUUUUAAAAUUAGAACUAAUUUAAUAGCAAACUCAACUGUUAGUACAACACGUUGCAAGUGCCCUCCAGAAUCAUACGAGUAUGUUUCCACAAAAAACUGCUUAGCAUGAAAAUGAAGAUACACAUUUUAGCUUACUUGGGCCAGGAGAUAUAUAUCAACAAAGGGCUAGACAUCAUAUAUGUAUUACAGAGAGAAUAUUACCCUUUUCAAAUGUAGUAAUUCGUGAAGAGAAAUAUGUUCUCGAAGUUGAGCAGAAGAUGCAUGUAAUAAACUUGUGUUCCUCACAAGCUUGAAAGAUUAGAUAGAAAUGUCACGUUUUGAUGAAGUCUUGUGCUCCAUAAAUCAUUUCAAUAGAUGGAACAAAAACAAACAGCUGAAGGCAAAGCUCUUUAUCAGAACUCUUUUCAGUGUCUCUACCUCCUCUACCUACCUUUACCGCGUCCAACAAGAUCUUUAUAGCUUUUACAUCCUUGAAAGCUCCAAAAUUAAAAUUCCUGUCCACUAAUGUAAUCAUGUUUACUUGAAUGACAAAGGAAGGUUCCGAUGAUAAUGAAUGUAUCUCUUAGUACAAACUACAAAGGGGUGAUUAAAUGAAAGAGAAAAUCAAAGUGACUGCAGCCACAGGAUCUUGUCCCACCAUGCUAUCCUCCAAUGUUAGACUUGACUAUAAUACUAAAUUAAUACAAGAUAUUUUCAUCAAUAUAUAUAAUUAAAUGAGAAUUAGCUCAAAAUCUAUUUAGAUUAUUCUAGAUCUUGACUCUAGAUAUAAUCCGGUAUUUGACAAUCAUCAUAGAGUCAAGUGUUAAAUGACCAAUUAAUCCAAAAGCUUAAGUGAAUAGAUUAUGGUAAAUUUAAUUUUAUCAACACUUUAACACUCUCUCAUACUUGUGGGAUUGAAAUUUUGAAGACACAACAAAUCGAAAUCAACAUUAAUUGAAGAGUAUACGAGAUUUCAAGCGUUCCAACACAAGACCUUGCUCUAAUUGACCCAAAAACUUAACUUGAUGAGUUAUGGUACAUAUAAUUAUGUCACCAAUUUAACAAAUGGUGUGUGGGAGGAAGAAUAGUGUCAGUUAAAUGAUCAAACUUGGGAUGCGAUCAAUAAUUCUCUGGAACUAAUAAAGUCCAUGUAAAAAUUGGAACUAGUACUUAAUGGUUCUUGAUUGCUCAAAAUCUCUGUUACAGAUUCAAAUAUUUAGAAAAAAUAAUGAGUGGAUGAAGAGUAAGAACUGGAAAUAAACCAUUCACUAAACUACAUCGUCAAAUAUAACAUGAAAAUAGAAAAAAUUGACAGAAAACUUGGAGUAGCAUUCUUUCCUCAUAAUGAAUGACAUAAAGUAAGUUAUUAUUUGUACAUAUACUCUGAAGCUUGGUAAAUACUAAGCAAUGUGGCAGGAAGAGCAUAAUUAUCCAUAAAAUGAAAAAACAAGAAAAGAGAAAAAUUUGCAAGGAAAUAAUCUCUUCUUUUUCUAGCAUUAACUUGUUUAAUUUUGUGUACAUCAUCUGGGGAGGCAGUUCGACUCUCCCUCAAAAAAGUGUACAAUGGAAUGACAAUGUCUGAUCUACAAGAGACUAAUCUAACAAAUAAAUUUUCUUUUAUGACUCAUUCAGACGAGAGAUGAGAUCCAUGAAUGUAUCAUUGCUGCAAGGAAUAGUGAGACCUCCCAUGGGAUGAUUGUAACCAAAUUCUUCUCCAACUUGACUUAGCAGGUCCUUGAAAAAUGGCUCGUUCAAGUAAGCGAUAGGAAUCACAAACCGCUUCUUCUGGUUUUCCCCUACAUAGACUGCACAAUAACCUUUGCGGAUUGCCGACGAUCCAUGAUGUGUUGUUAGGGAAGAAAGUCUAAUAUUUUGCAUGACAUUUACCAUUCUUCCCAAACGGAAACCCAUGGUUUUUUUUCCCUCUCAAGAAGAAGUUGGAGUCUUGAAUUUUAGAAUCUAGAAGUUGCACAAUAUCGCUUGAGAGAAACAGAGGAAAAUAUUUGGUGGUGAAUUGGAAGUUUGAGAUUUGAGUAGCUUGGAAAUUGAAUAAGCAUGUAUAUAUAGAUUAAAAAGCAGACGUGGCCACUAGCUUGAUCUAAGAAAUGAGUGGUGGCAGGUGAGACAUCUAUGAAUGGGCUCAAUUAGGAGACAUGUACUUGUGAAGUAUACUGUAUCACAUGGUAGUGUACUCUAGAUAAUAAUCUUCAACUACUUGGAAAAUAAUAUCGGGAAAACAAAGUCACCUAACUACUUGGGAAACCCAGCCAAUAGAGGACCCAUCUGAGCUGAAAAGUGUGACUUAGUGAAAACUCAUUAGUUUUGUUAAGCAGGUUGCACAAGGAAUCGGUCAUUUACAUUUGUUAGAGAAAUGCAUCAGACAUCCAAACCGUUCCCCUAAUUCUUUGACAUGCCAACUUAUAGCAGGGAAACAUUCAUUUAAUGGAAUACAUUUUUAUGUCUAAACAGAAGGAAAGCCUAUCUAAUUAAAAAAUCUAAACCAAGUGACUCAAAGAUAUGAACAAAACCAAAGUUGGCAGCUAACCUCUGAUGACAUUAUUACAGCUCUUGGAGUCUCACAAACCAAUCAACAAGCCAAAAAUAUGAUGAGACUUAAGAUGGUUAUAAAAUAGCUAGAUAUGGAGAGAAUUUACCUGAUGCAGAUUGAGAGGUUAGCCUUUUUUUCUUAAAUUUUUCAUUUUGGAUUCCAAACUAGCCUAUGUGAAAGUUCACAUGAAAGCUGACCAACAACGUUCUCUCACAAUGAGUGGAUGUGGAGUUCGGAACAUUUAAUGAGAUCCUUAUAAGGAAAAAAUAAGUAACUUUUAGUUGAUAACUAAAAAUAUAGGUUACCCAUUUCAUAAACUAGUACUUUUCAAAAGAUUAUCAUUCUUAAGUUCUGGACUAACUAAACAAUAUGAAAACAUAAAACAUGCUGCAGGCUUACUCCAAUAACUCUUGAGGAUGAAGACAGUGUUUGUAGAUCAUGUGGAAAAAUUCAGUUUCCUGUUACUCGGGGGCAUUGAUGGAUACAACAAACCAGAAAAGUUACCAUAAUAGCACUAAAGAAGAAGUUAACAAGGAGGAACCUACCUACGUGCCUAUACAAGAGCCAAAGCAAUUUAUUGUCCAAUUGUGAGUACCUUGUGUACAAUAUGAAGUGUACUUUGUGGUUGUCUUAUUUCUUAGUUACUAUUGCAUUGGGCAAACAAUACAGCAACUUGUGAUUGGAAGUUUCUCAUUACAUUGAAUACGUUUGGUCUAUUUAUUUUCCUGGUCACAGCAUUUGAUUUUUGGUUUUCCUUGACCACUUGUUUUCUUCUUUAAUAUCUUCCCACUGAAACAAGUGAAUGUGUACCAUCAGAAGUUGGGCCAGAUGAGAAAACGAGUCUGUUUCAACCAAUUUUGCAACCCCAUGUGAGCCUUGAUGAUGUAGGACCAUGCAGACACCUACAUCUAAAUUCUUUUGUUCACACCUCCUUUUCCUCACCUAUAUAUACAUUCAAAUUAAAUGAACAACUAUCUUCCAACUCAAACUGCAGAGAGAUUUCAUCCAAGUAUUGCAGAUUUCUACUUCAAGAUCGACACUGAGGGCACAACGACCAACAGUUGCUUGCUCUUCUUUCACUUCAGGAAGAUUUAAAGAUGGGAAUCCGUUUGCCUUCAAUUCUUCUUCACACUAAACAAAUUCUCAAAAUACAGGGUGUUUCUACUAAAGUUAAAUCUGAUAUUCCCAAAGGACAUAUUGCAGUCUAUGUAGGGGAAAUCCAAACAAAGAGAUUUGUGGUUCCAAUUUCAUUCUUAAACCAUCCUUCUUUUCUAAACCUACUGAAAAGGGCCGAGGAGGAGUUUGGAUUCAACCAUCCAAUGGGUGGCCUGACAAUUCCCUGCAGAGAAGAGACCUUCAUUGAUCUCACGUCUAGGUUGCAUACAUCAUGAGAGAGAUAAAAGAUCAACCAUCUCCACACAGUUUUGCCAAUUUUGUUAUUCUUUUUCAGUUUCUCCUAGUUGUAGUAGAAUAUCAAUGCAUAUGUAUAGGAAGUACAUAAAAAUGACUGUACAGGAAGAGUGGACACUGAUCAGUAAAAUGACUAGUUAUUUCUAAGAGAAAACUGCGCCCCAUCAAAAUUUUCACUUUCUUUUUUGCAUGCAAUUACGCGAAUGAAUCUUGAGUAGGAUAGGAAUUUCAGAAUGAAUCGAUCGAAAAGAAGAUAUUUAGUGUAAAGGAGGGAAAAAAAGAGAGAGGCUAGUGUUGCCCUCUGGUAUUCAAGAAGGGUGAGAGCUAGCCUCUCUUAUCAAAUAGAAAUAGAACUUUAAAGUGUCCCUCCCCAGAAACUAAAGCUUAUUGACUAAAUUUUUUUAUCUUAAAGCACUUAACUCUCUUUAUGUGCAGGCAUUGUAUCUAAUCUGUUAUAGGAUCUAACCAAAUAGGAUUUUUCUGACAUACAAACUGUGAAAAUCUUGUGUAUGUUUAUGUGAGGAAAGUCAAUUGAUCUCCAUUAUUAAUGUGCUUUGCAGUAUUCUCCAUGAAAUUGUAAUACAUAUAGAAACACACACACAUGUAUGUACAUGCAUAUAUGUUUGAUAUACAUAUAUGUGUGCGUUUAUAUAUCUUUUGGUACAAGAGUUCAAGAGAAACAGGAUAUAUUAUCAUUACCCUUCCAUCCAACUCAUUUCACUUAAAAAAAAUGUAUUGCAGCUCCAUCCAUUUCCACUGGCAUGGUGGUUGCUCAAAAUAGAUUUAAUUACAUUUACAAACAAAUAUAAAGAUACCAGUCUUAUAGAUAGUUAUUUGACUACUUGAUGUUGGUGAUUUGAAGAAUUAUGAAACUGAAGUUUUUCUGACAAAGACAAUUAAAAGAAUCAAUAGCAAAAGAAAAAAAGAUACAAAGGGACCUAUGUAGGGAGUACAAAAGAUUUUUGCUCACUUUCUAUAUAUUAUCCAGGUUAUUCGUUCCAAGUUCUAGGCCUUAAUUAAAAGGUUUUCAUUCUGCCUUUGUAAUUUGGUUAUACCAGCUUUAUGCUUUUCAACCUCAGGUACCUUUUGAGCUUUAUCUCUUCUCAUUCCAUCUAUAAAAAAUAUAUAUUUCCUUUCAGAAAAAUAUAUAUAUAUGCAGAGGAGUUCAAAAGAACGAAAAACAUUUGUGUAUCUAAUCUAGUAUACAUCAUUUGGGGAGGCAAUUUAGCUCUCCCUCAAAAAAAUGUACAUAAAAGUGAUACAAUCUGAUCUACAAGAUUGUGGGCUAACAAAAAUAGUAUUUGCUUCGCAACUAAUGCAAAUGAGAGAUGAGACCGAUGAAUGUAUCAUCACUGCAGGGAAUGGUGAGACCUCCCGUGGGGUGAUUGUAACCAAAUUCUUCUUCAGCUUGACAGAGCAAAUCUUUGAAAAAUGGCCGAUUCAAGUAAGAUAUUGGAAUCACAAACCGCUUCCUUUGGCUCUCUCCAACAUAAACGGCACAAUAACCUUUGCGAACAAUUGAUGGUUCUUGGUUUGUUGCAAGAGAAGAAAGACCUAUAUUAUGCACAGCAUUUACAAUUUUUGCGACACGAAAACCCAUGGUUUUGAAAUUGAGAACAAGAAAUCAAUAAAUUAAGAACUGAAGAAACUUGAAGUCCUACAGUUGCAAUUGAGAGAAUGAGAAAGCUUGGCGGGUGGCUGAAUUUUUGAGAUCCGAGUUGCUUGGGACUUGAAACAAGUAUGUAAUUAUGUAUAUAUAGAAGAAAAGUGAUGAUGUAGCCAAUAGUUCUCUAAGAAAUAGGUGGAUAGAAAUCUCUGGAUGGGUCCUACUAGAAAGCAGUUGCUAGUGAUGUCUACUGUUUCACAUGGUCCUGUCUCCUAGACCAUAAUCUUCAGAUACUCGGGAUAUAGUAUUGGGUAAACAAAGUCACCUAACUCUUUGGGAAAAUCAGCCACCCAUUUGAGCUGAAAAUUGUGGCCAGUUAAAAACUUUUUAAUCUUGCUAAGCACAGAGCAUAAGCAAGUAGUUGAUCACUUUUGUUAGAGACAUGCCUAAAACAUCUAAACGCUUCCCCUUAUUUUUUACCGAGUCAACAUACAACAUGAACACGCCAUUUAAUGGCAUAGAUUUUUUCUGACUGAAUGUAUUGAAUAUCAAUCUAAUUUAAGAACCUAAACCAUCUGGGUAAAAAUAGACAAGACCAAACUUGGCAGCUAAGCCUUUGUGAUAAUAUAUAUAUAUAUCAGUACAGCUAUUGGAGUCCCACAAAUGAUGAACCUAAAUGAGACAAUAAGGUGAGAUCACAGUCAUAAAUAGAGAAAAAUCAACUGUUCUUGAUCCAAAUUGUGAGAUCCUACCUCCUUUUUUCCCCUUCUUUUUUUUUUUUUGUUUGUUUAUUUAUAGUGUGUUCCAAACAAGUCUGUGAAGUUCACGUGAAAGGUGACCUACAUUGUUUUCUCAAAAUGAGCCCAUAUUGCCUAUUGGCAUAUUAUACAAGAUACUUUUAGAAUCAAUUAAGCAUCUACGUAGGAAUGAAACAUCUUUUCUUCAACAAUUAACUAAGAUGCAGACUACUAAUUUACAAGACUAAUGCUUUUUGAAAGAAUACCAUACCAUUCACCAGCUCUGGACUAACUUAACAAUAUAAUUACAUCAACAUAGUGCUAGAUAACUCUCGAGGUUUAGCUCUCAGGGUUUGGUACAGUCUUGAUAAACCAAAGAUAAAUUGUUGCUUUAUGGUAGACAGUUUGUGUAGAAGACAUAACUUCCUGUCUCGUGGAGCAUCAAUAGAUACGAACCAGUAAAGCGGUGAUAAUGUUACUAAUGGAAAAAUCAAUGAGGAUUUGAAAUGCCUUUACGACCUAGAACAAUUUGUUGUACGUUGUCGAGUACAUUAUGCCCGAACCGAAAUUCAGUUUUUUUGGUAGUUAUUUCACUGAAUCAAUUAUGCAUUAACCUGUGUUUGGAGGUAUCUCAUCACAUGGUAGUUAUUUCCUUUGGUCUAUUUUCUCGGUCACAGUAUUUGGUUUUCGGUUCUCCUUGAACACUUGGUCAACUCUAAUGUCCGUCCUUCAAUUGAACCAAGCAGGGCUUAUCCGAUCAGAAGUUGGGCUGAGAAAAACGAGUAUGUUACAACCAGUUUGGCAACCCCAUGUGAUCCUUUAAUCAAGUAGGUUCCCUCGAACUCCUAUAUUGAUAUUCCUUCGCUAAUCCUCACUUUCUUUUUCUUUAAACGGAAACGACCCUCUUUAUUAAUAAUAAUAAUAGAGACUAAUGCUAGAGUAUUAUACUAAGAACAAAAAAGACUACGGAAAAAUAACUAGCUAGAACAAAAAUAACAAUCUCAAGCAUAAAAACAAUGAGUUAAUCAAAGCAAACGAAAUUCGAAGAAAGCUAGAUACAAAGAAAAACUUAAACGCUUUCUCAAAAAGAGCCCACUUGAAACUGAAGUCUUGCACACCAAAAUCUUCAAAAUGAAAGGAGAAAGCGAACACCAAGAAGAGGCAACCAGCUACUUCAAGACUAUCUUGCCAAUGCAAACCUUUGCUCAGAGGAACUCAAUAAAGUCUUCCAAUCCACAGUUUCGAACAAAGCUUUGGCGGCAAUGGUUCAGGGAAGAAACAGGACCCAAUAAUCAGCAAAAAUUUUGCCUAUCCCCAAAAGGUAAGCCCAGCAGUUGCUCUCCAUUGGCAGGCAUGAAGUCGAAGACCAUAUACACAUGCUCGUCUUCUCUUUCUCAUAAAGACACUGAUAAAAGAUAUGAUUUUGAACCUCAUUUCCAUUCAAACGCUCUUGCAAUUGGGUCGUUGCGAUUACGGGUUGGAUGUCUAACAAGAAGCAAAUCAAAGGUUGCAAAGCAGCCAAUUUUCUGUUUGAGUUUUUCUGCUGUAUUUAGACCUUUGUCUAGAAAAAUCCAAAUAAGCGUACUAAUCUCCUUGGCCAAGCACUUGACGGAAAGCAAAAGGAUCAAUCUUCCAAACUCUUUCAUUGUCUUUUACUUGAAUAGUAAUACCUUCCAGGCAAUCCUAGAAGUUAGAACUAUAAAAAUGACUAUACAAUCAUUUUUUAAUAAAAUUUAGCACUUCUAUGUACUUGAAUUUGGCAAUUUAUGCGUCAUAAAUCCUGAAUCUUUUAUGAGUGAUUAAAAAAAAGAUCAAUGUCAAAAGAAAAGUUUAUAUGGAAAAGGUUAAUGUUAAUGAAAGAUUUACUAGGUUCGUCCGACCGAACCUUAGGCAAUGUCUAGUGUCUUAUAGGCCAUUCAGGUGUCACUUUAAAAAUGAAGAUCAUCGAUGCUUCUAUUUUUCAAAAUAACACGAUGUAAGUAUAAUGGCUAUACUUUUAUGUUAACAGAAAAACAUGCAAAAGAAGAAAAACAAGACAAAAACUUGCAUGGAAUGAAUUAUCUAGUUCUGUAUACAUCAUUUGGGAUGUCAUUUUUUAUCACUCCCUCCAAAGUGUAUAUAAGAAUGGUAUCAGUAGUCUACAAAGUUUGUGUCAACCACAUAUAUCUUCAAAACUCUUUCGAUUGGGGGAUGAGAUCAAUGAAAACAGAUUCAAAUACAAUCGACCCUGUGCUUUGAGUUUCUCUCAAUUUUGGUCCAUGUACUUUCAAUUGUCUAAUUUUAGUCUCUGUAUUUUUAAUAAAUCUUAAAUUUAGUCCUUCAAACUUUAAACUUAACUUUUAUCGAAAUUGGUCAAAUAAUAUUAAUAAUUUUCAUGUAAGAAAAGACACUGUACUCCUGAAAAGUUAUCUUUGCAAACUAAUGAAAAUCUGUGACUCUGGUUUGUUGUUUGUGAAGAUAGCCAAAGACUUCGCACAGCAAUUUACAAUAUUCACCAAAUAAAAACCUGUAGUUUUAUUCUUCACAAAAGGAAGUCAAAGAAUAUUUAGUCGAAGAAACUUGAAGUCGCACAAGAGCUAGAGUGAGAAUGCGUGGCAGGUGGUUGAAAGUUUGAGAUCUGGGUUGCUUGGGAAUUAAAACCGUGUCUAUAUAUAGAUGAAAAAGGGUGAUCUGGGUAGGAUGUGUUUGAAUGGGGCCAACUAGUAGGCAAGUGCUUGUGAACUCUACUGUAUUGUAUUAUCCUGUGUUGCAGAUAUUAAUCUUCACCUACUGAGGAAAUAAUACUGGGAAAUCAAAUCACCGAACUUUUUGGCAAAACUAGCCCAUAGAGGACCCAUUUGCAUGGAAAAUUGUGGCUUAGUGAAACUUCGUUUGUUAUGUUAAUCACAUAACUUAGGCAAUAGCCAUCACUUUUGUUAGAGACAUGCCUGAGACAUGUAUAUCACUCCCCUCACUUUGUGCUAUGCCAACAUAUAACAGGGAAGCAGACUCAUUAAACACUAUAUAUUUUUCUGUCUAAAAGGAAUUGAAAAUUUAUCUAAUUAAAAAAUUUAAACCAUCUGGCUAAGUACAUGAACAAAAUCAAACUUGGCAGGCAAGUCUUAGUGGCAACACAUCAAUGCAGCUAUUGGAGUCCCAAAACAAAUUGAAUUAAUAUAAAAUACUAAGAUUAACUUCCUCUUGCUAUAGUAAAUACUAUUUAAAAGCCUCCAAUUAGCUACGGUGAACACUAUUUCAAAACUCUUAUUUGCUACCGUAUUUAUAUUUGCUACAAUUUUUACUAUUUUAAUUUCAUCUUUUUUAUUAUUUGCUACGGUAUUUACUAUUUCCCUUCUUAAACUAAAAUAGUUUACAUCUCAAACACAUACUAUUAUAACUCAUACUAAAAUAAUCUACAACCCCAACACAAACUAAAAUAAUCUACAACCCCAAUAGUGUACUCCGGUUAUAAUAACUUAGAACUAUAAUAAUAAACUAUUUGCUUUCAAACACCGCGAAAGAGAUAAGAUUGUACUCUUAAGUAGAGAAAAAUUUACAUGAUGUAGAAUGUGGAAUUGUUCCUUGUUAUGUUAUAAUAUAUAUAUAUAUAUAUAUAUAUAUAUAUAUAUAAUAUUUGGAGCAAGCCUAUGUGAAGUUCACUUGAAAGCUGACCUACAAUGUUUCCAUAAAUUAGAUUCUUUUAAGAAGAAUAAAAAACUGUGUAGGAAUCAAGCACUUCUUCAGCAAUUAAAUAAUAUGCAGAAUGCCCUUUUCCAUGACUAAUGCUUUUUGAAAAAUUACCAUUCUCGAGUUCUGGAUUAUUUUAAUCCUACUAAUGUGAAAACAUCGAAAAGGUGCACGCUUCAAUAACCCUUGAGGAGGUUGAAUACAGUGUUUUCUACAUCAAGAUACGGCUGUUGUUUAUGGUAGAAAAUUCAUAUAAAAUUCGCAAAUUCCUGUUUGAUGGUGCAUUAAGGAAAACAAACAAGUAAAGUUGUGCGGUGAUAUUAUAAUGAAAUUAUGAAACAGUCAAUUAGGAAUGCUUUGAAGUCCCUAAAUGAGAACCAAGAAAAUUUGACACAUAGUCGAGUAUCAAUGUACAUACCAAAAUACUUUGGUGGUCUAAUUUCUUAGCUAUUGCAUUGGACCAAUGAUGCAGAACAAGUGAUCAAAAGUUUCUCAUCAAGUGGUCUUCAUUUUGGUCUAUCUAUUUUCUUGGCCACAACAUUUGGUUUUCCAUUUUCCUUGACCAUUUGUUUUCAACUAUAUUAUAUUCCAUUCAAACAAGUGGGUCUUUGCUACCAGAGAGAAAAUUCUAUCGAAGUACUUAAGUUUUCUAAUUCAAAUCAAUAUCAAGAACGCUAUCACCUAGAUGUGCUUGGUCUGCUCUCAAUUCAAGCAAGUUUGAAGAUCGAAUAUGUUUUCGUACAAUUCUUCUUAACACCAAACAAUUCUCAACCUGCACAAUGCUUGUACUCAGAACCCCAAAGGUCAUAUCCAGUUCUAGUAACUUACUCCCACGCCAAAUCAUUUAUUAAGUAAGGGCUGAGGAAGAUUUUGGAUUAAACCAUCCAAUUUAUGGUGCAACAAAUCUCCGAGCAUUGAUAUUACUUCUUAGUUGAAUAUAUCAUGAGAUGAAGAGAAAAAGUAAAAGAUCCACCCCUCCACGCAGUUAUUCCAACUUUAAUUUUUUGUUUCUAGAAAUCAGAGUAGGAUUCCAAAGUAUUGGGAUUGGGAAGGAAGUAAAUUUUGUGAACUUGAUUUUUUGUGAAUGGCCUUGUCCUCUUUCAUACUCUUUUUUUCUCAGUGAAAGUAGUAUUAAUGUGUGUGUGUGUGUUGUUCUACCUGAAAUGCCUACAACACAUAUAAGUUGCAGUUAGAGAGCAACAAUAUAACAUUUUUCCUAGAGAAAACUUCCCCCCUUCAACUCAUGAAUUCCGUACAUUUCUAUAUUCCUUCUCAGGAUACCAUCAAAGUCCUUGUCAAAAAAAUUUCCUCUAUUGUGCAAUAUUGAGUACUGACAUGGAAAAAUGCUGUUUCAGCAAGAGAUUAUCAAAGAAAAUGUGGAUUUCGUCCACUGAUGUUCAAGAGGGAGAGGCAAAAAAUUAUAUUAGCUAAGUUAGAGAUAGAAAACCAUAACAACCUAGAUCAGAAACCAAGGUUUAUCAACUUAACUUGUCGACUUCAAACAAUAAACUCUCUGUGUGCCUACAUGCUAUCUAAUCUAACAUAACCAAACAAGUUUUCUUCCUUUUUUCACGCUAUAAUUCUGCAAGUCCCGCACACAACUUGUGCGAGGGAAAUCAAAUCGAUCUGCAUCAUAAUGAAGUUUGUCACUGUUGCGACAGACACAUUUCUCUUUUCUUACAAGUGUAGGAAGGAAAAUGAAUUCCAUCACUAUCACAGUUUCUAUCAUAUCCAACACAUUUCCCUUAAAAAAAACACUCGACUCCAACCAUAUCAUCUGGUAUGGCAGAUGCCCAAAGUAGAUUCAACCACAUCUAAUCAAGAAGUCUAAACUUAAAUCUUAUCACCAACAAAAACAAAAUAAAAUAAUCAUACGCAAUCAUUUCACAAUACAAAUUAGCCGUCUACUACUCUACAUCCAAUCAAUAAAUCAAAACUUCAAUCAUUUCACAAUACAGAUUAGCAAUACUCACUCAAUGUAGACUCAUCAGAGUAAUGUAUUUUUUCCUUCUCUUGCUUCAACCAGAUAUCGAUCCCCAAAAUGUAUCGGUAAAGAAAACUGAAAAUAAAAAUAUUGUUUGUAUCUUAGGUAUCUAUCUAUCAAGUAUUGAACCUUAACACAUGGGAAAUUAUGCACCGAUUUUGGAUUUCAUUAAUUACAAUCGUUGUAUGAACAUUUUUCGUACCUUUACUUCAGAGAGAUCAGUACAAUUCUACCAAAUGACGCGGGAAGUUAUUGUAGAUUAAUGUCUUGUCGAAUCUGGAAGACAAUGGCGUCGUGGCAGACUCUAGACGUACAAAUUGAUGAUAAAUUCGAACUGUAUUGAACAGAUUAUUGCAUGUGAGUUUGUUGCCAAGUAUUGAAUUCAAUUGAAUUGGAUCGAAUCGAAUUUGAACAGAUAUGGAUUAUGAUUUUGGGCAUACGAUUUACGUCGAGUUCUAGCUGUUUGAAUUUGGAUUAUACGAUAAUUUGCGAUAUCUAAUGAUUUAAAAUAUUGGUAUAUAAUCCUCUGACGUUGAUAUCAUAUUUUAAUAAACGGAUAUCUCAUAACAACAACAAAAUAAUGCCCAUUUCAUUUCAUUAUCAAUACUCAUCAAAUUCAUAUAUGUAAAGAUUUUGUAUUUUGCAACAAAAUAUCUUUUUCUAGGAUGAGAACCAAAAAGACAGAGGCCGAGUAUAAAUAAUUGAAUACUCACGAUCUCUCAAAGUCUUACGUAUAUAUAAUACAUUAGAGUAUUCUAAUUAUGAUAAAUAUGAGAAAAAUGGAGAAAGAUAAAUGUUUGCUCUUUCCUUAAUCUCUACAAUAAAGAAGGAGGCUCGAGAGAAACUCAUAGCAACGUCGUUUAGGAGGUUUGAACGUUGUACUAAAUGUGUCGUAAGAAUAUAUAUGAAUAGACUUUAUUUAAAGAAUGAAAAGAAUUGUUUAGAAAAGGUAAAAAUAAUUAAGUAUUAAUUUGAAUGAUUUAAAAUUUCAAAACAACUACCUUUUCUUUCUUAAAAAAUAAAAAUUCAUCGCAAAUAUUAAGUCAUACUACAUAAAUUUUUGUUAACAUAAGUGAAGUUAGAGACGUCCGAACUACCUAUCUUUUUAUAUGCCUAUUAAAUUAUGUUCAACAGAUAAUAAUACUGUAAUCAUUAAUCAUUGUUAUUGUUAUUAUUAUUAUUAUUUUGUUAUAUGAUAUCAUUUUCAUAGAAUUUGGAGGGGAGGGUGUUUUUUUUUCUUGUUGUUGUUGAUAUUGUGAAAGAAAGCAUUUUGUCAAUUUCCUUGAAGAUUCCAAUACCAAAAUCUUGAGUUUUUUUAAUUAAGUAGAGCAGCUAGAAUUCAAUUGGUCAAAUGAAUGGAAGGUAUUUCAACCACCUCACAAUAUAGCUUGAAUAUCAUUUUUGAAGUUUAUAUACUGAAAUUAGUUGAAGAAUAAUAAUAAUAGUUUUUGUGUGUAUGUAUAUAUAUAUAUAGAAAAAUAAUUAUUUUUAAUAACAAAACUGAAAAUAUUUACAAAUAUAUGAAAAUUUCAUAAUCUAUCAAUAAUAGACGGGGUAGAUGUUCAUCAAUAAACAAUAAUAAUUUAUUGAUAUUUAUCGUCAUCUAUGGAUAAUAUUUUGUUAUAUUUGUAAGUAUUUUGGUUCAAAUGGAUAAUUGUAGUUGAUAGCCAUUUUAGAAAUAAUAAUCAAGGAUAUGACAACAUUUUAAAAAAAUUACAAAUAUAGCAUUUUGCUAAUAUUUGAAAGAAUAUAACAAUAUUUACAACAUAGUCUAUCAGUAUAGACUUCUAUUAUUGAUAGAAGUUGACAAAUUUUGCUAUAUUUGUACAUUUUUUAAAAUGUAUAUACUUAAUUAUUUUGAAUCAAAUUGCUAAAUUUACAACUAUCUCAACAAAAAAAUUGUUAAAAGACAAAAUUAGUAUGUGCUUCGUUUGAAUAUAAAAUGUAAAUAACAAUUUGCCGAAAAAAACAAUCCAUAUAUGAUUGUUUUAAAAAAAAAUUACAAAGUCAAAACAUCCAUGAAAAAACAUAAAAUGAAAAUAAAUGAUAAAGAAGCAAUAGUGAAUAAAUUUAAAGUUUUUUUAAAUACACGUAAUAAAAUUGUACAUUUAAACUAUAAUAACUAAAAUUGAAGAGAGUUCAAACUAUUUAGAAGUUUAUUUAUGGGUAAUUGUAAUGAAUGCUCAUUUGAGGAAUAAUAAUUAAGAAUAUUGCAAUAUUUAAAAAAACCUACAAAAUAGCAAAACUAUAAUUGAUAGAUUUAUAUCACUGAUAGAAUCGUAUGAUCUAUCGGUGAUAGACCAAUUUUUACAAUAUGUACUAUCAGUGAUAGACUCUAUCAUUGAUAGAAUUUGAUAAAUUUUGCUAUAUUUUGCAAAUUUUUUCAAAUGUUGCUAUAUACUUAAUCAUUUUGAAUUUAAUUGUUAAAUUUGCAAUUAUUCCUUUAUUUAUUUCAUUUUCGUUUACGAUAUGUGAAGUGUGAGCUCGAGGUAUUAAAGUAUAAAUAGAAGAGUGUUGAUUGAAAAUUGGAAACAAAUAUUUGAAAGGAAUGAUUUUUUGUUUACAAUAUUGAUUUCGAAAUAUGUAUAUUUUAUAGUUAUAAUUAACACGGUUGAAUAUUGUUUAAUAGAUUGUUUAUUAAUAGGCGAAGAAUGUGAUUUUUCUACUUAUGAUCGUCAUUAAUUGAAUUAUAAUCAAAAUUGAUCGUUUUAUCAAUGUCAUUAGUUGAUGAUUUAUACAAUUAGAAAAUUUUGGAAUUCGUCUUAAAUUUCAAUGUUAAAUAAAUAAAUUCAUAUAAUACAAAUUUAUGUCAGUUAAACUAUAUUUGAUGGGAUAUACUUUUUAUCCUAAUUUAAUUUUUAAAUGUUAUAUAAAAAUCAAAUUACAUUUGAUAAGUUAUGAGAUUUUUUACCUAUCUAAACGUGGAACUUCACUAAUGAUUACAUAAGUGUUUGAGGUUAACUUUCAAUUGAUAAAUAAAUUUGACAUUAACAUAUUUUUAAAUCUCAUUAUAGAUAAAAACAAAAUUUAAAUAUAGUUUAAUAAACUAAAAUAUAAAAAAAAAUAUAAUAAAAUUUUAUAUUUUAUCACUAAAAGACACAUAUAGACACAUUGAUAGACUUUUAUCAAUAUCUAUCGAUGUACUUAUAAAUUUUGAUAUAAUUCUUUCAAUAUCUAUCACUAUUUACUAUUUUGUAAACAUUUUCAUCAGUACUAUUGUUUACAAUAAUUUUAAAACUAAACUUGUAAGAAGAACCUUUCUUUUCAAAUUAUUUUUAGGUAUUUGAAAAUACAAUUCAAACAAACUUGAUUCAUAUGAACGUUAGAAUUCAAACAACUAUCUUCUAGUGCAAAAUUAUGGUACCAUAGCUAAUUAAAGUAUAGGUAAGCAAAUUUAUUUUAAUAUUAUUUGAUGAUAGCUAGAUAAAAUAAUAUUUUAAAAUGUCACAUCCACAUUACAUUAUUCAAACCAAUAUUUCCUUUAAUUAAAUAAAAGAUUUAAAAACUUCAAAAAUCAAAUUAAAAUAUUUGUUUAAUCCUUCAUCUCCAAAUUGGGCAGUUGGAGCCAUGUGAUUUGUUCACAUUCAAAGUAUAUGCUUUAGCAUUACUAAUUAAUAACAUUACCAUUAAUACUUUGUGUCAGUCUUAAAAUUAAAAUAUUCCCAUUAACUAAUCAUUAUUAGUAGUAAAAAAAAAACUGAUAAUUUCCCAAAAUACUCAUAAUUAUUAACUAUAUAUAUAUAUAUAUAUAUAUAUAUAUAUAUUAUUCAAAGUCUAUUAAAAAAAAGGUUUAUUAGCAUACCAUGUGCAAUAAUCUAUAUGCUUUACCAUUUUUAAAAAGAUACCUGGCAAGUAUUAUCUAUAAAAUAUGACACAAUAUCAAUAAUCUCUAAUUAGUUUCAUUUUAAUAUUUAACGUUCAUUGCACUUCAAGACAAAACACGACUGAGUCUAAAACGUAAUCAUACUUCUCAACCUAACUUGAUAUUUUAUAUUUUAAACUAACUCGAGUUGACAGACAAUACGUUUUUGCUAAAAAAAUAUUUAAAUAUGGGAUUGACAGCUUAUUCUAAUACAUAAUACGUCGUAUCAAAACGCAAUUAUACUUUUCAACCUAGUGCAUAGUCGGUGCCUUUGAUUUGGAAAAUUAUUCAACGGAGUUGACAAAUGUAUUUUAAUACAAUAUAGUGUGUUGUAUCACAAUAUAAUUAAUUAGACUUUCCAAAGCUAACUUGAUUUUUGAAAUUAAAUUGAGAAUACAUUUGGCUUGGAUCGUUAUUCAAGGGCAUAAUUAUACUUCUCAUUCUCACAUGACUUCUUAAACUAACUUUUGAUAAUGGACACUGCAUUUAUUCAAUGGACUUGACUUAUUUUAGCAUCCUAAUCAUACCAUAAUGUAAUUAUCAUUUGAUUUUGGAAGCUAAAUUGGAAAAUUUAUUUAAUAUGUAUUAUUAGACAUGUUAUUCUAGUACAUACAUGUGUUAUACCAAGAUGUAAUCAUACUUCUUAACUCACCUCAUUUUUUAAAAACUAGUAUGUGUUCACUAACAAUGUAUUUGAUUCAUAUUAUUCUAGGAGCUUGACAAUGUCUCACAUCAUAGUAUAUGUCGUACCAAAAUAUAAUCACACUUCUCAACCUAACUAUAUUUUUGUAUCUAACUCAAGUUCAAUCACGAGGAUGCAUUUCAUUCAAAAAAUGUCAUUCAUUAGAGUUGACAACAUAAGCUAUCAUACACAGUGUAUGUACAUAGAAAACGGUAAUUAUGUUUUCAACCUCACUUAACUUUUGGAUCUAACUCGAGCUCAUCAACAAUAAUAUUUGAUUCAAAAUAUUAUUUUAUUAAAGUUGACAGACUAUCGUAACGCGGUGUGUCGUAUCAAACUUCAAAAUCACUUUAAUAAUGAAUAAUGAAGUGGAUAUAGUACAAUCAUAUAUUAAAUUAACUUCCUCAAGGACCCAUCAAUAGCCAACUACCAUUCUACAACCAAUCCCUUCCUAUAAAUUCAAAACCCUAAUCUCCCCAAUUCCCAAAUCACAUUUUCCUUCUUUUUUUUUCAUUUUCCUCUUCAAUCAGUUUCAUCCAUUUCUCCAUUUUUUUUUCUCCUCAAUGGGGUUUCGUCUUCCAUCGUCUUUGAUUCCUCAGGCCAAGCAUUUGCUGAGGAGAAGCUCCGGUAAUCCAUCGGCGGUUCCGAAAGGUCAUGUAGCAGUGUACGUCGGAGAGUUUCAGAGGAAGCGAUUUGUGAUUCCGAUUUCGUAUUUGAAUCAUUUUUCGUUUCAACAAUUGUUGAGUCGAGCGGAGGAAGAGUUUGGAUUUGAUCAUCCAGAAGGUGGUUUGACGAUUCCUUGUGGUGAAGAUGCAUUUAUCGACCUUACUUCAAGAUUGCAAGCUUGUUAAAUCCAUGAAGAACUAGGAAGGAAGGAUCUCGAUUUUUGCCUUUGGCUUCUUCUUCUUCUUCUUCUUUCUUUCUUUUUCCUUUUUCCUUUUGGGAAUGGAGAUGUUCAUGUGUUGUUGAUUAUUUUUGCAUUCUGACUGAUGUUAGAAUGUUGAUGGAACCCAAUUACAAUACAAUGCUUUUGGGUGUUGUCAAUUGUAAUGAGUGGUGUUGGAAUGGAUUGGUGAAUUUUUUUUCACCAGAAAUUGUAAUGCAAAUACAACUUUUUUCUUUUUCUGUAUCAUUUUCUCCUGUUUAUGCUUUGAUGAAUUUGGAUUAUACUUCAAAAAACUUAACUGUUGGAUCCAAACUAUCACAAUGUGUUUGAACUAUUUAGUUAGCAAUUUGGAUUCAAUUUUUCUUUUCUUUUUGAGUAAUAACAACUCCGAAUGAGGGAUUGAAUCUCCACUUAAAUUGUUGUUUAAAAUGUGAUUUUUCAAAAUUUAGUUCAUACUAAAGAACAAAUAUAAUUUGUAACUUUUUUCAAUGCAACGACACUUAGUUGUCUUUACUAUGAAAAAUAUCUUCAAAAUUAUAUGACAAACACAAACUUUCUUCUUACAAAAUAUUGGUUGUUGAUCAAUUUAUUAAUCUAAUGUAAGAACUUUCAUUAAAUUUAAACAAAAAAUUUACAAAUAAAUUGUGUAGGGUAUAAAUGGUUGCUUAAUAAAAGUGAAAGAUUAUUUUACAAAUUUGCAAUUACAAGAACUAAUUUGUUACUAACUAACAACAAAGAGUAUAAUCAAAACUUAACUUAGGGAUGAACAAAGAUCCAUUUUGUCUGGAUGAACGGAGAUCCAUAAUUUUUUUGAAAGGAUAAAAAAAUAGUUAAAACUUUAGGAUAAGAUUUGGGAAAAUCCAAAUAAUUUUUUUGAAAAGAUAAAAAAAUAGAUUUGGAAAGAUUUAUAUACUUCUUUCAAAACUUAAUAUAUUACUCUUAAUCUUCUUAAUAUUUAGAACUAUCCGUUAAUUUUGACGGUGUGAUAUUCUCAAGACUCUCAACUAUAAUUGUAUGUACGUGUCUCAUUAUUUAUGGCCUAAACUUAUGUUGUCCACUAAAACGAUCCUAUACUGUAUAAUACUUUCGAAAUGUUUAUGAAUAGUGCCUUCAAAGAACCAAUUAAAUUUUUCUAAAUGUACAGUAAGAGCAAGAACAUUAGAACUCCAAGUGCUUUAUAUAUUAAAAAGACCUUUCCAACUGUGGUACAUUUAAACCCAACUGCCUUCUUGAAUAAAUAUAAAAAGUUAUAAUUCUAUACCAUACUCAUUCAUAGUUGAAUGUUAUGGUACAGUUUUGAGGUACAGUAGCAUAUUUUUAGGCCUGUUUUCAAUAGCACAACUCCAUUUUUAACCAUUCGCCAUUGUAUUACUGGGUCCUCUUGUCUAAAGCAGAAACCUUCUCACAUGGAGAUGUUGCUCCUUAUUUAAAGGAUUGGAUAGACAUGGUGACCGAUUGCCGACUAAAUAUUAAGUUCUUGUUUGGUAAACAAUUUGAUUUUUAGGUUCUUGUUUCUGAAGUUUGAGUCUACAAACACUACUUUGGUUUAUUAGUUGUAGGCUUAGUUUUCAAAAACAAAAAAUGAAAUGGUUACCAAACUGUCUAUCAUUGUUAUGUGAUAAAACGUGGUUUCAUUUGGCUUUGGCCAUGCGUCUAUAAGUUUUUGAGAGUGUCUUUGCAGCACUACGUUUAGUUUUUAAGUCUUAACUAAUGUUAGAGUUGAAAAAUCGGUGUUUAGGAUAUAGAGUUACGUAUCUGGAGUUUGAAAAUAGGAAACAUUAGAGAGGAGAAGAUUAAGUUUAUCGAUAAAUGUACAAAGUUUAAUAAUGAGCACUAUUAAAGUUGGUGAAGGUGAAUUAUUUAAGGACGACUUUAUAAAGUUGAUAAGUGAAACAUCCCUUGAGAGAGAGGUUAACGCUUUGCUCACCGGCACAGUCGCUGCUGGCAAAGCAGAGGUGAAAACCACCCUCACCAAGGGAAGGAGACUAGAUUUCAGAGUGGUGGUAAAACACUUGAUAGGGAGAUGGAUGACCAAAGGAGAAUUGAGGUUGUGCACAAGAAACGGAAGGCGAGGAGGAGAAAGCAAGCGGAUGAGAGUAAAAAAGAAGUUUGAAAAUAGUUAGAAAAACUUGUUUUGAAAAACCAUAUCAAACUUUAGUAGACAUAACUUUUAGAUCAGUCUGUCAAAAUAGUCAUCUCCUACGCGAUUUGAUUCAUGAAGUAACUAAACGAAACGAAACUUCGACACACUACUGUUUUAAGAGACCCACGAACCACAAUGUAUAAUAAGAUUCAAUCCAUCUCAUAGUAAUUAAAGCUGUGAAAAUCCAGCUAUGCCAACUACUCGAAUAGACACAACUACAUACUCAACUCCCUUAGACAGUGAAAAGCAUAACUCAUCCUUGUUCCAAUGUCUGUCUUAAAAACGCAACCAGCUGGUCUUUUUGAAGGACUAAGUCGUACCAAAACAUGAUAUAAUUUUCGAUUUGAGGAAUACAUUAUCCAUCCCUUCCUUCAUUCAACCUGAAAAUUAGGUUCAAUGAUGUAACCAUUGGCACUUUCCCAGAAAGUCAAUCACGUGGAUAUGCAAUUUCCUUGUACAGUCUUUGUUUUGAAUGUAGAGUUCUUUUAUAUGUUGAUCAAAGCCAUGUGAAAGGGUCUUCCCAACAACAGUCUUUAAUACCCCACAUCUAUUAGUAAUGCAGCAAGAACAGAUCAGCAAUCAGAAAAACAGCUAUUAUUUUUUCCUUUUUUUUUUUAAAAAAGUCUAUAUAUACAAACUUCAAACGAGGCUUCAAACAUAUCCAUCAACCAAAGAAAGUUUUUAGAGGGUGUUCGCCUCCUCUUUGUACGUGUUCUUCAGCCGAUAACACAAUUUAGCAAUGGGAAUUCGUUUGCCAUCAUCUUUGAUUCAUCAUGCUAAGCAAAUUCUUAAAAUGAGAAACCAGUCAAAUGUACCAAGAGGUCAUAUUGCUGUUUAUGUGGGCGAGAUCGAUAUUCAAAGAAAACGUUUCGUGGUUCCAAUAUCAUUCCUAAACCAUCCUUCAUUUAAACAACUUCUCAGUCAUGUUGAGGAAGAGUUUGGAUUUCAUCAUCCCCAUGGAGGUUUAACUAUUCCUUGCAAAGAAGAUGCCUUUGUAGAUCUUACUUCUAGAUUUCAACACUCCUAAAAGGAAGAACAACAAAGGCUGUCCACCAAAUUUUUUUACAACAUUUUUUUUCACCAUUUGUUGGUGUUUUGAUUCAUUCAAAUGUUGUAUGAAGGAAAGUUAUACCAUGUUGCUUCAUGUUUAAUACCAUUUCCUUGGUGAAUUUCCCACCAAAUCAUAAUACAAACAAAGCAAUUCUCCAUCAGUUGUUUUAUUCUCUUGUUUGGUUUUAAUUAGUUUACUAGUGACUGCACUUUUUCGGGGACAAAGAAACCAUAUGCUAUCUAUAUCAACCAUUAAGUUGCAAUAUCAUGUAGCGAGAAUACACGGCAAACAAGUAAAUGUAGAAGAGGCUUUCUUUACUCUCCAUUGCUCGUUUUGGGAGUUGUGUUGUAAACAAAGAUCUAAGAAUUUCGUCCAAGAGCAUCAAUAAACCAUGACAACUUGGUUAAAUUUAUUUUUUGUAAAUGUAUAAUGACUCAUAUUCUACCUACAUUAUUGACAUCAUUAUAUAAAUUAUAUUGUUGUCUUCGUAGCAGGAAAAUGAUCCAACAAAAUUUUGAGAGUUUGAAAUUUUUGAGUCUGAUGUAUAAAAAAUGGACUCUAUCUAUACCAAGGGUACUAACUACUAAAUAACUCUGAUAGAAAGAACAACAGUCUUAGAGAGAAUGAGAAAUCAAGUGAGGGGGCUAAGUUUAUGCUCCAUUAUGAUAUUGAUCUGACUUUGUUGGAUUGGAGCCCCUUUUUGCAGUUCUUUUGGGCUCUCUGUUGCCUUUUGUUUUCUGUUGGGCUUCUAUGAAUUUUUUUUCCAAUGAAAGCUUGGUUUCUUAUCAAAAUAUUUGGAUUGAAAGACUUUUCUUUCACUUGGGGUGGUUUCAAUUUUCUCCUCAAGAAUGGUAUAAGGAUGAAAGGUUCCAUGGAAUUCAAUCAGUGGAGUAGAAAACAAGUGCUUUUUCAUUAGAUUAGUGACUGGUUCUAAUGGUAAAUGAGAUCAAUGUGAAAAAAUAAAGAAGAUUCUCUUUAAUUUCCUAUCAAUUUGCGUUGGGUGGAGGGUGGGUUUGUGGAUAUUUUUGAGAGCCAACCUAACUACAAGUUCUUUCAAUUUGAAGACAGUUGUAAAAUUAGGAUGGUGAAGAAAGGAAGGAUUGAAGUGCUAAACACCAAUAACCAAAAAAACUUUUAAGGGGUGAAAGUAAAUUUAAUAUUAUAUCAAAUUUGUAGAAGACCCAACAAGUGACCGAGAAGGAAAUAAGAUCAUAACCUUUUACUCUAAUACCAUGUUUUGAUCGGAACGUAUAAGCUAAUGGAUGAAGUUAAAUUAAUACUAUAUCAAUACUUUAAUAAAAGGAAAAAUCGAAACGACUAUAUCAUACAAAGACUCACCAGUGAGAGUAGAGAUGUCCAUUUAACCCGCAGAGACUCGCCUCAAACGAGGCGGUGAAUCCCCGAGUACACGGGAAAUGGGGAGGGAGUGGAGAGUAAUUUUUUUCUCAAUUGACAUUCCCUAACCCCAACCCCACCUCGAAAGAAAAAGUGGGAAUAUUUCCCCGCAGUUAAAUUUGUGGGGAUAGGAAAUGAGAUAAGAGAUGGAGAGUGGCAUCCCAAGCCCCGCCCUGUGGACAUCUCUAAGUGAGAGCAACAAAAGGGUAUUAAAUUGAUUCUUUGGGUAGAUGGGAGACGAGGAGCUAGCUUAACAAACAGAUUGAUUGAGAGAAUUGGGAACUUUUGGGUGACUAAUAAGAAUUAUAAAAGAGGAAGUUGCAACUAAAGAAAAAGUCAAAACAUUUAAAAUGAAAUGGAUUUGACACUCGAGUGGUAUAGCUGAUGAACUUUAAAUAACUAAGACUAAAAGGAAAACAAGGGACAUUAAAGAAGAGUCCCAAGUUCAAAGAUUAUUCGAUCUCCUAUCUUCUCAUUCUAAUUUCAAAGUAUUAAAGAGUUUUCAUCAAAAUAAUUUACAAGAAAAAGUUAACAUCUAAUCAACAAUACUUUUCUUUUGACUUGUUAGAACAAUUGUCAGAUCGAUGAAUAUCUUAUCAUUACAUAUGUUAGAAACAACAAAACUUCACAUAUUUCAAUAAUUGUAUUCUAUUGUCCACUUUACGUAUAAAUUCCCAUACUUUUAGUUUUUGUUUCACCCAACAUGUCUCAUAUGAAUGGAGUUGUAGCCCCUCGCAUAUAUGCCUAUAAUUCUUCUCUUCCUUUGCUAACGUGAGGUUUGAUCAAGCGGAUAGUGGUAUCCACUAUCCAGUGCAAAAUAAGAGGUGAGAUAUUUUUGGAUGGAACCUAGUAAGAGGUUUAGGUAUCAAGCCACCCUGCCUCUUCAAUAAGAACAAAAUGUUUUUGGUUAUUGUAGUUCUUUAAUGAGCUAUUGUAUGGAAACUUUGUUUUAAGGAUUUGUUGGGUCGAAGUCAAGCAACUCGUAGUUUGUGCCAUUUCUGAGGAUUUUUGUAUUUCUGUUGAGUGUUUUACAAGUUUGUCAUAUCAAAGAAAUUUAUUCAACUUUUUACUUAGAUCUUCUGUGUUUAAAAAACUGCAAACCUAUUUCAAGGCUGAGUUUUGUUGAAAGAUAGAAUCACUUGCUUUCUCAAACCAACCACCCAACAGAAUGGACCAUUUGAGUUGUUUGAAGUGUUGCUUAGUGAAGGAUGGCUUAAUACUUGUAACUUCAAUCGGUAUUUAAACUCUAUCGUGAGAGAUGUAAAUGGAACUUUCGAAUCCUAUCAUUCUAUCUUCAUAAUCAAAUUAUCUAGAGUAAGUCCAGUAAGAAUUAUCUAGAGUAAGUCUGAAAUGACUUUCUAAGUGCUUAAAAAAGUAAUUUGAAAUGUAAAAAAAUGUUUCUAAACAUUUAGCAAAACACUCCAAACAUGCUCUUAAUGUUAGAGAUUUCAUAAGCUGGAAAAUAUUGAAAUGUUUUUUUAUUAACAAACCAAAAUAUGUAUACACAGAAGGUUAAGUUAGAGGUCAAAGCAGAGAAACAUUAUAGUUACAACCUAUCCUCAGAAGGGUAUACCAAAAAACUAGUUGAGAUUCAUUUAUGCUGUUAGAGUUGAGAAAAAAACAUAACUACACAUGGCCACAGUUGAGGCAUAACUGAGAAAUUCAAGCAAAAAACAUUAUCCACUAAUACACUUCCUCAAUUUUAUUAAAAAAUGACCAGUCAGUCAAGCUAUGAAGCAUCAGCAAAAGAAUAAAUCUACUUUGACACACCUCUUUUCACAGUGAACUUAACCUUUUACUCCAUAUAUAAACUUUAUAUUUUCAUCUCUAUUCCCAAAUGUAAUGUUGCUCAAGAGACAUAAACUUGAAAACUGUAGAAAGAACUUUCUAGUUCACUUACAAAAGAAGGAUCAUUGUUGUCCAUCGAUUAUGCCUUUCAGUCUGAUCCUUAGGCAUUGACUCACCCUCCGAAAAUCCGAGAUUCUCACUUCUGCUUUGUUCCGGAGAAGCUCAUGUAUAAGCAAGGAUUAAUUCUUCGAAUAAACUAAAUACAUGCAUAAAAUAUGACGGCUCUUUAUUCCACAACAACAAAAGGGUUUUGGAACAAAUUUAAAAUGGACAAUUCAUGAAUCCAUAAAUUAAAAACCUGGAUAAGAGUUUUUAGACUCAUGUAAUAGAACAGAAGCCAUGAAACGAAGAAGAUUGCAUAUAACUUACGUUUCCGUUCCGGUUGGUCUUGGAACUACUUAGAAACUCUUGGAAUUAAUACUGAUUGUGUUUGUUAUUGGAUUCAUAAACCACCAUUUCUGGUUUUUCCAAAUUAGGCUGCUGCCAAGAAACCAUUGCUUGAUAGUAAGAACUCAAUGACUGAAUCUUAUAGCUCCUUAAAGCAAUAAGAUGUUAAGAACUGAAAGAGAAUUAGCAUACUGACCAGAUAGUGAAGAGGGCCAUGGUCUGUUUUCUUAAUCAUCAUAAAGGAGUCAAGGAGAUCAAUCACGAGAUCGUGCUGAUUUUCAAUAGUCUAUACGACAUAGAUAAUAAAAAACUUUGUAUGUCAAAGUUUUCAAAUAUAAACAUCUUUCAGACACUAUGCUCCCUAUGCUAAUGGAAAUUGCAACAUCUUUUAUGACUUCCAUGGUGAGGUCUUGUGGCACUGUCUGAUAUUUUGAUCGAGAUUUAGGCCUUAUCUCACUGUUCUCUAGUCUAUUUUCAGCUAUUACAAUGGGUCCAUUGAAACACUAAGUUGUUGAGGAUUAGAAAUCUUGUCAAACAGAUCUGCCAUUUAGAUUUGAAAUUUGCUUGGUCACUUGUUUGGACUAUGAUUCCUUUUCUUGGACCAAAAGGGGGUCUACCACCAAAACAUGGGGCAUACAGAAAUGUGUGGAGGAAAAAACCUACCUCUACAAAGAAAUUAAACCAAAGCAAUAGAACACAAGAAUAAACAUGGGAAUUUUCCCACUGAAAAAACAACUAAAGAAAAAACCCAACUAAAAAUUUUCACUGUGUGAAACAUUGUUAGAAUCACACAAAGAUCUCUACCCAUUCUCAAUUACAAUAGCACUAUCUCAAAGCACUAUAUCUCUCACAUAAUUGAGUUAGUAUAUACCAAGCUUAAAGUAAUUUGAAAUUGGGAUAAUUUGAAAGCUAGACUUGUAAUAUUUUGUCAAAACUCGACAAAAUGAACUGUUAUAGCUAUUUAAAAAUGAGAGUGCUUCAACCAAUAGAGCAAUCCCAUGUGAGCAUUUGAUGGAGGGGGUCCUCUUUGUCACCUAUUUCCUAAUCUUUGGUGCUCAUCUCCUCUUCAUUAGCAUUAUAAAUCCACUCCAAACAUCAACAAAUUCUCAUUCAAGCUGUGAAACUUCUCAUCAAUUUGUUAGAGAUAACCAUUCAAACUCACUCCUCUUUGGCUCUUUCUAUCACUUAAAUCAAAUACAGAAAUGGGAAUUCGUAUGCCUUCGCUUCUCCUUAAUGCCAAGCAAAUAUUCAGAAUGCAAUCUGUUUCAACAAGAUGUCAUUCCAACAUUCCCAAAGGUCACAUUGCAGUUUACGUGGGCGAGAUUGAACGGAAGCGAUUUGUGGUGCCGGUAUCAUACUUGAACCAUCCUACAUUUCUAAGUUUGCUCAACAGAGCUGAAGAAGAGUUUGGAUUCAACCAUCCAAGUGGGGGUUUGACAAUUCCCUGCAAAGAAGAUGCCUUCAUUGAUCUCACUUCAAAAUUGCAUACCUCUUGAAAAGUAGAACAAACAAAAGCUACAAUUUCCAACCAAAAGAGUGGAACAAUUUUACCAACUUCUCUUUUCAUUCUUGUUUAAAGAGAAUCAAAGUAGAAUACCAUUGUAUAUUGAUUUUCUGUAUAAAUAUUAGAGCAAAUACAAACAAACAACAAAUUCAUACAAAAUCAGCUCAGGCUCCAUGAUGAUUUAGUGUUCUUUCUUUCCUGUGUCCAUGUAUGAACUAACCUCUGAUAAGUUGUCAUAUUUUCACCCAAUAUUGAUAUGUGUUAUAAAAUUGACAACAAUAAUAUAUAUAAAAAAAAAAAAACAGAAAAUGUAAACAUUAGAGAUAUCUAGACAAAGAUUUACAUGGUUCACUGACAGUGUAUUAGCUACGUUCAGGAAGAGAAAUGAUAACUUUUUAUUAAUAGUAAGAAAUAUCGUAUUAUAAUUUACAUCGGUGUUCAUGGAGUUAGAGAAUUCAUCUAGCACACCCCACUAAACCCUUGGACUAAAUCAUAAAUAACAUAAACACGAAUACAACUAACAAAUUCAUGCAUUCAUUCAAACAACUAAUUUACACGUAAUUUGACCAAUCUCAUAAGGCAACUAGAUGUACUAGUAAUAGUUAUGAUAUCGUAAUAGAGUAAUAGUUAUGAUAUCGUAAUAGAGAAAGUAACUAAUCCAAUCGAAUUGACAAUGCUGCAGCAUUACGUGAGUAAAAGACGGUCCAAGAUACCGUCGUAGUACCAAAUCAGACAUCGGGGGCCAUGGAUGCAACAAUAGGCUCUUUUAUUAUAAGCAGAUCACAUGAAGAUUUCAUUUUAUUUUUCAACAUCAAUGUAGUUAAUGCAGUCUUAAAGCAUUCAAUUCACUACAACAGCUUGGACUAUAAGGUGGGUUGGAGUUAUCACAUCAGUUAUGUUUCUGAAUUCAGCAAAGCCAUGUGAAGAAUUCUACUCAAACACUCAGCGAAGCUAACAGUCUCCGAAGUCCCACUUGGCCAUUGGAACAUCAGUACUCUUUGAGUUAACCAGUUGACAAGUCUUCAAACAACUAAGUAGAGUCAAAAGGCAGAUGAUUCUUUUGACCACCAGAUCAAGACUUCAAACCUUUCUAAUAAUUUCUCUUCUAGAUGGAGAAGGAAAAAAAACUUGUGCAUAAAUCUAAGAAACUCUUUAGUAUAUUAAGCCAUCAUAUAGUGUGAACUUAAUUCCCCAAAUCUCCUUUUUGUUGUUUUGUUCUUUUUGUUUUUGUUUCUCUUUCUCUUUUUUGUCUUGUCUAAGUUAUCUACCGUAGAGUUUAUUUUUUGAGGUUAAAAUGAAUAAAUCGCACUUUUAAAAACAUAAAUUUUUUUUAACUUCUAUAUGUGUUAGUCUAACGUCGGAUCUCACUACUCACUAUUGCUCUCUUUUCUCACUCUCGCUUCUCACUUACUUGGCAUUGUUGACUUGAUCCUCGCUCUCACUACUAUCAAUUUUAGCUUGUCCUCGUUGACUCCAUCCUUAGCUUGGUUGUUUAACUUUUAAAUUCAUUUUUGUUUUAUCUUUAAACUAUUAAAAAAUAUAUUUCAAUACCUAAACCUUGUCACGCUACUCUAAUUGAAUCCAUUUUUUACAAUGUUUUUAGAUGUUUAACUUAUUUUUGACUUCAAAUCAUGUUAAAACAUAUGCUCAAAACCUUAGUCAUUAAUUUCAAAAGCCGAAUACAAGUACUUCUAUUUUAAGCUCAAGAAUUGAAAAAGACAUUUAGAACAAAUUUAAAAUUUUGAUUUUUAGUAAUUAUGAUCGAUUUCAAAAAGUUAAUUUGUAAUUAUCCAAUUAAUAAUUGUAUCUUCUAUUCAAGAAUUAAUUAUGUUAUGAUAAAGAUGUAUUUCUACCUAGUAUUGUUAAAUUCUUAUACCAAAGAACGAGAGAUGAGUUCAAAAAAAUAUUUAUAUGCAUGUACACAUGUUUAUAUAGAUAGAUAUUAAAAGAAAAUUCAAAAAAUAUAUAAUGGUUUGUUUUGGUAACAAUUUAUUAAAAACAUUUAAUGGCGGACAACCUAUGUCGAAAAACAUUUUUUACAAAAACUAAAUUAUUUUGAAAGUAACUCCCAAUCAAUAUCUAAAAAAAAUUCACCUCUUAUCCAAUUACUCCCAAAUUAAUUUGAAACAAUUAUAUAUAUAUUAUAUAUAUCAUAUAUAUAUAUAUAUAUAUUUUAAAUGUGUCAAAACCAUCCUUUGUAAGAGAUCUUAGAAAUACAAAAAGUAAUUCUGACCAUCUACCCUUAAAUAUCAUGAGAUAAUAUUACAACAUUUUACGCCAGAGCACAGGAACACUUUCCUUUUAAUAAUUUAGCCCAAACUAAAAUCAUCCAUCCUCACCCACCAAUAUGUAUAAUAAACCAUUUUCUUCCUAUCCAUUAGGAUUCCUAUAUGGAUAUGCUUACAUUUUGUAACUAAAUAAAAAUUAGAAAUAACCCACACAACCAUGAUCAACCAUGCUCACAUGUUAAGUUUAUAGGUAAAAGAACUCAGGAAGAUUGUUGGAUUAACCUCCAAAAAGAAAGGGAAUAGGUAAAUCCUAAAACUUGUUAGUAGAUGAUAAAAUUAAAUUCCCUUAUACCCUUGGCAAGGAGACUCUUGAUAAGUAAAUUGUGUUUCUGUUUGCCGAAAAUUUUUCCACCAAUCAAUAAUAAACAAAGAAAAACAUUAUAGGGUAAAAACGUGUUCAGCAGCAACAGGGAACCAACCUAAACAAAACUAAAGAUCAAAAACUUUCUUAGUGAUACCAAUAAACACCACCAUCCAGAUAAUCAAUUUGAACUCACGUGCUUCUGGACAAUGUGAAGUGCUUCGUGAUCCUCCCCAAAGUCCUGGCGAUGGAAAUUCAAAAUUGAAGUAAACAAAAACUGUUUUGAGAACAAAAGAAAACAGGGGAUAGAACAUUUUCUCCACAGGUGAUGAACACAUGACGUACCUUAACUACAACACAAGAGCACCCGACGACCUUCCUAGCCUUUCCUUCGGAAUCAAUCUUGCAAAGCUGCAUUAGACCAAACAUUAAGAAAAUAACUCAUUAUCCAGAACUCAGAUAAGAUGAAAAUUUUUGAUCUGAGUGCUAAUAUGCGCAUAUUAAUCACAUCUUGAAACCAAAAUAAAAUAUAUGAUGUAGAGUGCAAAUAUCACAAGCAAAAACGAAUUUUCCCAAUGGAAAUGUUAGUGAGAAAAGGUUCUGUGUAUUUUGCAUGGAUUACAUAAAAGGAGAAGAGCCUUUCAUUGAAUAAUGAAAAAAGAUGAUCGAAAAUACAAGAAACAGUAACUGAAGGAAUUUCACAAGACAAAACAAAAAAAAAAAAAUAGAGUACUCCAAUACAAGCUGAUAUCGUGAAUAGAAUAAUUAGCCUUUCAAAGAGAACACCAAGAAGAAGCAAGAAGUAAGAGACGAGCUGAAUCAAGGCAAGCAGGUAAAAACACAUCGUGAUACAUGAAGCUAAGUAUCAACAGGUAAAAACAUCUAGCUAAGCAGUGCAGGUACAGGUUCAAUCAUAGUAGAACAAUUAUCAAUUACAAUACCUGAUGGGAGAGAUAGCAAAAAAACAAAAAAAAAAACUACCAAAACUAAAACAUUUUCAUCUCGAUGGCUAAACAGAUUAAAUACUUACGCCAGCCCAUUCGCCAAGAGUCUUAGCACUUGGAACUGUCAUCAGGUUUACAUUGUGCUCAGCACAGAGUGCCUUAACAAGUUUAACGUAAUCUGGCUGGUUGCAGUCUUCUCCCAAGACGCAGAGCUGAGCAGCAUGUUUCUCAAUUGCUUUAGCACUUUCAUGUAGACCACGAACAAGCCCACCAUGAGCUAAUGAUUUUCUAAGAACAAGUUGCAAUGCAGUCUCAAUGUCCAUUGGCUCACCAAGAGCUGGGGCCGGAGCCUCGGCAACAACUGCACCUUCAUCACUGCAUAAGAAAUCUAAUUAUAAGGGAUCAUAAUAUACCUACUGCACAAUACUGCAAUCAAGCAAUAGAAGGCAAUAUAUAGCUACUUGCAACAAAAACUGAGCCAAUAGCAAAAGGAUGCUAAAUAGUAGUUCAUUAGAAAUGACUCCUAAGACAAUAUAUAUCAAUCCCCAGCAAAGUAUUGUAACAAAUCCACACACAAAUCACAUAUUUCAGUUCAAAGUUCAAUAUUCAAUAUGUACUAAGUCCAUAACAAACAAUAUUCAUCUCAAGGCAUUACAUUUAUUCCUCCGCCUUCACCAAUCAAGUUACCAUCCAUCACUUUUUUCAUAUUCAUAGUCCAAACAAGUGGGCAUUCAAAUAAUUGAUUACAACCUGCAGAUUCCAGUUCAUAAAACACAAGGCACCGCUGAUGACUACAAAUAUACAAACAAAACAAACAAAAAACAAAAGAAUAAAAGGGCGAGCAUUUAACAGCUUAAAGAAAUAAAAGCAACCAUAUGAAUUGAAAGGGAAGCUAGAAGCUCGCAUAAUAAACAGAAUUCCACUCACGCUGACAUUUCCUUCUUGAUUUGAAAUUCUUUCUCCUUCCUGUUGCAAACAAACCCAGAUGAAUAAUCAGACAAAAAUAGCAGCAAAUUUGAAGAUAUGCAUAUACGAAGAAGAAGAAGAAAAGGAGAGGGAAGGAUAAGGGUAGGAGAUGGCUUGAGAUUACAGCGUAGAAACCGAUCGAACCGGAGAUCAACGGCGCGAAAUUAGGUCAAGAAGAAGCGGGGGUUUUAUGAAGAAGAAGUGAAGGGUUUUUAUGUGCCGAUGGAAAAACCCUACUUCUGAAUUGGUGAUCUUACGCUGUUCGGUUGGUUCGGUUUUUUCCUUCACAACAUUAUUUAUUAUUAUUUAAAAAGUAGAAAGUAGAUAGCACUAAAUUUAAUAUUAUUAAAAAAAUUGUGUUUAAAAAUAAAUAAAUUAUUUCAAAAAUUAUAAUUUUAAUCUUUAAUUUUUAAAUAUACUUCAAAUUGAAUCCAUUAAAUAUAUAAUUAUAUACCAUAUAUUCUUUUAGGUAAUGAGAAAGUACACAAGAUAUUUAUAUAUAUUUACCUAAAAUUUAGGUUUGUCAAAAGAAAAGCAUCUCAACAACCAUUUGUUAAGAAUAAAUUAAAAAAAUUUCACAUUUUACAAUUGCAUUAAGGUCGUAGACUAGGUACACAACUUAACGUUUUUGUAAUAGUAUUUCUCAUAACCUAUUUUUUACACUAUUUUUUAAAAUAAUGUUAUUAAAAAAAAAUCCUACUUUUAUAUGAUAUGAAACUAAUAUUACAUCAUUAACUAAUAUAUCUAACAUAAUACAAAGUCCCACUUUAGAUGGAUUGUUGAAGUAAUCUAGUUUUCUUGACAUGAUUUUAAUGCUAAUUGAAAUAGCUACAAAUUUUGGUGUCUCAUUUUGUUUAGAUCAACAUGACUUCACGUAUUAUGACAGAUGGGGCCAUCUUACCAGAAAUUGGUGCAAAUGAGAAAAUGAAUGUACCUUAACCAAUGAAGCAACCCAUGUGAGCCAUUGAUGAAGCCAACUUUCUUGGUUUCCUAUCUUCUAUUCAUAUGCUAUAAUAUCUUCUCUUUUCUCAUUCUAUAUAUAUACGCUAAACAAACAACUAAUCUCCAACUUAAAUUCUUUCACAUAUUCUCAUUCAAACAUUGAAGUUUACCACUUCCAAAAAGUUUCAAUCCCAUUAUAGCCAUGGGAAUUCGUUUGCCUUCAGUUCUUGCAGCUGCCAAGCAAGUUCUCAAGAUGCAGUCUGUCUCAGCAAGAUCUCAGUCCAUUGUUCCCAAAGGUCACAUUCCAGUGUACGUGGGAGAAACCGACAGAAAGCGGUUUUUCGUUCCGAUAUCGUACUUGAGUCAUCCUUCAUUCGUAGAGUUGCUCAACAAGGCUGAAGAAGAGUUUGGAUUCAGCCACCCAACUGGAGGUUUGAGAAUUCCCUGCAAGGAAGAAGCCUUCAUUGAUGUUACUUCUAAAUUGCAAAGUUCAUGAAUGAUUUGAGAACAAGGAGCAAUUCUCCUCACAGUUUUGACAAUUUUUUUCUCUGUUCAUUUUAGUGUACUACUUCGUAUGUAAAUGGUUAGAUUAGAAAAACUGGAGAGUUACAAAGCCAUUUGUACAUCAAUGACAAAUAUCAGUUGCAAUGAAACAUUUCUUGCUAACAAAGCCUUAUUCAUUACUAAUUGUCUUCUGAUUCUUUUCUGAGAUAAAAUCUACUGGAAGUUAUAUUUGAUCUGUAUGCAAUUAAGUCCUUAUACACAUGUGAACAUUCCCUUUGUAUUUAUUCAUAUUGAACCAAGUAAAAGUUUUACCUUAGAAUCAGAUGCUGUUUUUGGGUGUCUUUUAGAAGAAAAUGGCUUUGCAGCUGCGACCGCAAAUCUAACAUACUUUUACGUGAAAUAGUGAACUGUCAUGAAAGAGUUUAGCUCAACUAGUAUUUGUAUAUACUUGAAAAUCAAAAGAUCUCGAGUUAAAAUUCUCACUUCUGUUUGUACUUCGAAAAAAACGAUCUUGAUUUGCAUUAAUGAAGUGCUCAGUGAUCGAAUGCUAUGACAAAAGUCCUACGAUAUGGAGCUACGUGGACCCACGGCAAGGGUCAGGAAGUGCCCGAGCUGAAGAGUGUAUCAUCUUCUAUGAAGCAAAUCUCGUUCCAGUUUGUAGGCUUCACUGUUAAUCAAUGCUCAAUGUAUUAGGCAAGGACCAAGGAAUUUUAAUAAUUAGUAUUAACAUUUAAUUAUAUAGACAUAAUUUGAUCUAAAUCAUCGGUUAACCCAAAAAGCUUUUGUUGAUAGCAUAACUAUCAAAUUAAUAAAUUGACACACAGAUUUACGUGGUUCACUGACAAAGUAUUAGCUAUAUCCACGAGGUAAAGGGAAAACAUUUUUACUAGAGAGAAAUUCAUAAUACAAAAUAAAGGCACCUAUAUAAGAUGGAAGAGUUUACUGAUUUGCGUGGUUCAUUAACUAUAUCCACGAGAUAAAGGGAAAACAUUUUUACUAGAGAGAAAUUCAUAAUACAAAAUAGAAGCGCCUCUGCUCUAAACUCUAGGACAAAAAAUUAAAUGUAAAUAACUUAGACAUUUUAAUGUAUACUUGGUUAUUCAAAGUGUCAGAUAACAAGUUCAAGUCAUUCCACCACUACUUCAAUGAUAGCACUAAUUGGCUCCUCCAUACAGGUUGCCAAACAUGGAUAUUUUGUACUUCUGUUUUCAAUUUGAUACAUUCUAUCUUGAUUCAUUUAAUCUGCUGCUACAACUUUACUUGCACAAUGUUGUUUGUGAUGAAUGGAACAACUAGGCCAGCAGAACAGAAUCUUGUGAUACAAACAAAUAUAAACCACAGAAUAUGUGUGGAGUGUAGAAUAGACAAAGCAAUGUUUUUUUUUCUUUAGAAAAAGACGAAACUUUUCAUUAAAUGAAUGUAAAUAGACUAAUGCUCUGAGAUACAAAAGUAUACUACAAAAUAUAGCGUGGCUUAAGACAUAAACUGAAGGACAAAGUCAUGUGGAAGGGUCCACUCAAAUGUCUUCCUUAGCUUUAUUUGGAUAAAUUUUUAUUAGUUUGGCAAAACCAUGUGGAAGGUUUCACUCAAAUACCCAACCACCAAACUCCAACACCUUACUGAUAAGCACCAUUCACCUGCUAGAGCUUUCUUCAAAACUUUAUAAAUAUUAACAUCAUAUGAGAAUUCAAAUACCAUUUUCACUUGACUUUCUCUUCUAGUUGGUUUGGAACCAAUCCAAUCGAAAUCUAAGAUAUUUUCAUAGUCUUUCAUCUUAAACAAAUGGGGAUUCGCUUGCUAUCUUUGGUUCCCCAUGCCAAGCAAAUCCUGAAGAUUCAGUCAGGACUUACCAAAAACCAGUUGGAUGUUCCAAAAGGGCAUGUAGCAGUUUAUGUGGGAGAGAUUCAAAGGAAACGGUUCGUGGUUCCAAUAUCUUACUUAAACCAUCCGUCAUUCAAACAACUGCUCUGCCACGCAGAAGAAGAGUUCGGUUUCCAUCAUCCUCAAGGGGGCCUAACAAUUCCUUGCAAAGAAGAUGCCUUUACUGAAAUCACUUCUAAAUUGCAAGCAUCUUGAAGGAUGAAGAAAAAAUGGCAAUAUUUCAUUUUUUGACCAUUUGUUUUUCAAAAUUUUCUCUAUUCACUUGCCUUUUGACUUGCAAGAGAAUAUACUCCAUUGUUAGCCAUAGCCUAUAAAUGAGUAGCAUUGUAAAGUACUGUUUACCAACAAAAGUAGAUGUAUGCACAUACAGCAACAAUUCAGAAUCAAUUCCCAUGUAGCUUAUUCUUGUCUAUACUCUAUAGAUCAUCAAAAUUUUACUUUCAUCACAUAAGAUCUGUCUUUCUUUCAUAUUGUUGAGAAAGUGAAAUAGUAGAAAAAUAAAGAUGCCAAUGAGACUAGAGGAGGAUAUCAGAAAUCAGAUCAUAAGAUAUAGAGUUGUCAAUGGAGUUAUAGGGUUCAUAUAUAACACUACAUUAAACCCUAGGCCCAAUGCUUAUAAAACUCAACAAAUAACUUAUUCAAGUCAUUGUAACAUAUAUUUUAACAACUUGAAAACAAGAGCCUUUGAAGGCUUUCUACGAAUGGGAAAAAUUAAUAGGCAAUUAAUAGAGAUCGAUGAGGUACUUGAUAUCUUCUACAUUGGCUUCUAAGCUGAAAAGAUGCCAAUCUUGCUGGAAUUGUUUGGGCUUCAUAUAGAACAAACACAUAAUUGUUAUGAAGAAGAAGCGUUUUAGUCUGCUAAGCUAAGCUAAGGUGACUAGAACAUAGAAUUCUAUAAGCCAACUGAAAGUCUCUAAAACCACACAUGGAUUUGGCUAAUGGGUCACUGGUGCUGGGUCCUUCUGCGCUUCUUUUGAUGCCUUAUGUGAAGUAAUUCUAAUGAGCAGUGACUCUUGGAUUGAGAUGAGAUGAGUGGAGCUUUUGUAUGUUCCAUUUUGCCCGGCACCUGGGUUGAAUUCAUAUUUGCUAUAUCUGUGUUGUUUGUUAUUUUGAUCUUAGGAUUUAGAGGAGUGCAUUAUAUAAACUCUCUAACUCCUAGAGGCACAUCACAUUUGUAUUAUAAGUUUUCUCUCUAAUAAAAUUGUUGUUCCAUCUGCCCGUGGAAGCAACAAAUACAGAACUAAGUAAAUUUGUGUGUCAGAUUCUCUAUUGCUUUACGUUUGUUGUUUUCUUUAUUUGUCAAUUCCAUAACAAAUUAAACCAACUAAAUGACAAAACUUUCAGAUUAUAAACAUCCUUCAGACAUAUAUGUCAUUUUCCGCUGAUGAUGCAAUAUCCAUCCUGAUAUACACCACAUAUUUUUGAAGUGUUCAAUAGUUCAACUUAAUUCCAGCUCAAUUGUCCUAUACUCAAUACCUACUAAUAUUUUUCAGCCAGAUGAAAAUGUUUGAAUAUGACUUCAUUUAUUGGGACAAGUAGGUCCAGAGUAGCAGAAUUUGGAUCAAAUUUGAAAUUGAGUGUACUUCAAUCACUCAAACAACCCAUGUGAAUAUUUGAUAUAGCAGGUUGUCCUAGACACCUAUCUUCAUUCUCUGUUCAUAUCUCCUCCUAUAUAUACAUAUCAAAUAUGCAACUUAUCUCGAACUCAAAUCUUCUCACACAUUCUCAUUCAAGCAGUUCAAUUUACCAUUCAAAGUUCUUCAUUGAUCCCUCAAUUCAAUCCAAUUUAAACAUGGGAUUUCGUUUACCGUCGAUUCUCUUUAGUGCCAAGCAAAUUCUCAAAGCACAGUCCAUUUCUGGGAGAUGUCAAUCCAGUGUUCCUAAAGGUCACAUCGCAGUAUACGUGGGAGAAAUUCAGAAGAAGCGAUUUUUGGUUCCGAUAUCUUACUUGAACCAUCCUUCAUUUUUAGACUUGCUAAGGAGGGCUGAAGAAGAGUUUGGAUUCAACCACCCAACAGGAGGGUUGACCAUUCCCUGCAAAGAAGAAGCCUUCAUUGAUGUCACUUCUAGAUUGCACACUUCAUGAAAGUUGACAACAAAGAGCAAUCCUGCUUGCAGUUUUGACCAUUUUUUUCAUUUUUUUUUUCUGUCGGAGAUGAGUUAAAUGUUACUAUGAAGUAAAUUUUGUAUAUAUAAAUGCAAUUAGAAAUGAAAAGGUGGAGAAUUACAAAGCCACUUGAACAUCAAUAAAAAGUUAUUAAUUGCAGUGAAAAUAAGAUCAUUUUGCAAAAAAGAAAAAGGCCUCACUUUUGAAAUAUCAUUUCAAUGUCCUCUGAUAUUAAAAAAAGAGCUAAAACUGUAACUAAGCCAAAUAUGGAAUAUAAUACUUUCAGCAACUAUCGUGAGUUAAGCUCACUUUUAAGUAUGAAAAAGGAAAAUAAUAAAACAAGUGCUUGAUUUAGAGGUUCUCUGUUAAUGUUAUACCGAGAGUUGCCUAGGCCAUCAAGGAAUUAGAGUUAUAUCUUUGAGCUCUUAUAUGAUAAUCGAUUUUCUAUUAUGGAAAGUCAUGACAAGGACCAAUCACAUAUGAUAAAAGAAUCCAAGAGUUUGAUCUAAUGGGUUAUAACAAAUUUAAUAUUACAUUAGGGGAUGUGGUUUUUUCAGCACUGAAUAUUAAAAUCAAUAGGUUAUGAACAUUCAUUGGGAAGGAGGAAAGACCAUUUUUGUCAUACAAGGAAAGAGUAAAGAAAAAGAAACAAUUUUAUUCAGCAAAAAACACUGAUCCUUUUGUGGAAAGUGAGAAGCAAGACCAAAUAAUUACAUGGAGACUCCAAUUUGUUAAUGAAGGAUUUGGGUUUGAGGGAAAGCUUUCUUUUUCCAAUUUUAACAAGAAAUGAGACUUUUCAUAAAGUAAACAAAUAGAUUUUAUUAAAUGGGAAUUUUGUUAUUAGAAACUGGAGAUUUGGCAUUGUUUGAGACAUCAGACAUUGGUGAAUUGCUAAAUAUUGCACCCACAACAAUGAAUACAAUAUUUUCUUAAAAGAUUGCAAAACACUUCAAGAAAAUAGUGUUUCAAUAUUCUUUAUGACUAGCAAGCUACAAUGAACUUAUCUUCAUUGAUGAAGAGUGAUGGAGUACUCAAUAUCUUCUCCAAAAGUAGCAAUCUUGCAGUGAUCACUUAGCUUUCAAAUGGAACAGAGGGACAAAUCUUGUUCCAAUGCAAAAAUUUCAAUCCACCAAAGUGAAUAUGAAACAUUGCUUUAUUCUCUAAGCACAACUUUAAUAAGCAGUUAACAACCUCCUAAAUCCAAAGAUGGACCAAUGGCCUCUGAGUCUAUCUUUUUAGGAGAUUGCACUGUUGAUUGUUUGGUCAUCAACUUAACGUUUUGAGUUGAUAGGUGAUUUAACGUAAUAUCAUAGUAGAAGGCUUUGUCUUUGAACCCGAUAAAUGUCAUUUCUUUUCACUAAACAUUGAUUUUUACUUAUUGGAUCUUCUAUAAAUUUUCAAUCUCUCAUGCGAGAUGGGAAGACUUUUUUAGUAUAUAGAAAGAGUGUUAAAGUGUUAAUAUAAUUAAAUUUAUCAUCAUUUACCAAUUUAAGCUUUUGGGUCAAUUAGUGAUUGAUCAUAUCAAAGUAUUUUAUUUAUAAAAAACAUUAACAUAUUAAAGUGUUGAUAUAUAAUAUUAAAUGUAUCUUUAUCGAUCAACUUAAACUUUUGAGUCAAUUGGUAAUUUAACAUGGUAUUAAAGUAGGAGGUCCUAUAGAUCAAUUGACGCCAAUUGAAUGCAUCUAUUUAGGGUGGAGAAGGGUUUUGCACAAAUUGGUGCAACAAUUCUUCCAUUGUAUGUUGUGAGAUGCAUGUAUAAAAAAACAAUAAGACAAUAACUAAUCCAUAUGUUUACAUUUAAAGAAAAACAAUUUCAUGUGAUAUAAGUUUAAAGAAGUUAAUCUAAUGAAAGUGGCUAUUACACUAUGAACUGAUAUACUAUUGAUAUAUAAAUGAUAUACUUGAAAUGCAUUUUGAAUUAGUAUUGAUAUGCAAUUGAAGUAUCAAUGCUACACUUGAAGUAUAUUAUUCGAAUGAUAUAUUUCAUAUUUGAUACAUGAUAACGUUUUUUAUAUGUAUUUUUCUCUCUAUAAAUUUGGUAUUGAUAUACAAAAUAUGAAUAUGAAGUAUAUUCAUUAUACAAUCGACAUAUCAAAUUUAUUGUAACUUAUAUGCUAUUAAAACAUUUAAAAGUUUAAAAAAUAAAACAAAUUAUAUUAUUAUUUGGAGUGCUUGUCCUGGACUCGGAUUCGAAACCCCUAUAUUUGGUUAUUUGAAACGUCAAAUACACAUGGUCAAGGUAUUCUAACAAAGUACAAAAAUGAAUGGGUCAUCCAUUGCAAGGCAAUCCAGUCACACUAAUAUUCUUUUUAUCCAAUUUUAUUGUUCUGUUCACUCCAUCUUGAGCCAUUUAAUUUGGUGUAACAACUAAGGUGCUAGGACAGUGGCUUGUGAUGAAUGGAACAACUUGGGCAACAAAGCAAGAAAAAUUUCUACAAACAAAUAUAAACCAUAUAAUAUCUGUGGAGAGAGGAAGAUAUAAUAGAAUCAGCUUUGAUUAGUUAGGCAAAGCCAUGUGGAAGGGUCUACUCAAACACCCAACCACCAAACUCCAAUACCCCACUUAGCAACUGGAUAAGCACCAAUAACUUUCAUAGCUCUUUCAUCAUGACUCUAUAAAUAUAAACAUACUAUGAGGCUCAAACAACCAAAUUCAAUUGUUAACUUCCUCUGCUACUUGGUUCUGUACCAAUCUGAUCAAAACUUAAAAUAUUUCUCAACCUUUCAUCUUAACACAAAUGGGGUUUAGAUUGCUAUCUUUGGUUCCUCAUGCCAAGCAAAUCUUGAAGAUGCAGUCAGGGUUUACCAAAAACCAACUGAAUGUUCCAAAAGGCCAUGUUGCCGUUUAUGUGGGAGAGAUUCAAAGGAAGCGCUUUGUGGUUCCGAUAUCUUACUUAAACGAUCCAUCGUUCCAGCAACUGCUCAGCCAUGCAGAGGAAGAGUUUGGCUUUCAUCAUCCUCAUGGGGGUCUAACUAUUCCUUGCAAAGAAGAUGCCUUUGUUGAUCUCACUUCUAGAUUGCAAGUAGCUUGAAGGAUGAAGAGUAAAGAGCAAUCUGUCAUUUAUGACAGUUUUUGUCUGUUCUUUUUCUCCAUUCACUUGCUUUUUGACUUGCAGGAGAUUGUAUAAAUUAGAGUGCCUUCUUACUUGUAUAUGAGCAUCAUUGUAAAGGAAAAUUACUUACAGAAAUUGUGAUAAUUAAUACAGAAACAAUUCAGCAUCAACUUCUAUGUCACUUCUUUUGUUCACCAUAAAUCCUAACUCUUACUCUACCUCUCAAACGCAAACUCUAAUUUGAGAGUUGAUGCAAGGACAAUUCUCAAAGAAAAUUCUAAUUAUGUGUUUAAAUUGGCUGACCUGUGAAAGUAAUGAGGUUUCACUGAUACAGUUAAGUCUCACCCGAUAUUUAUUUUAAGUGGAACUAGUAAAUAUGCCUUGUUUAGUGGAGAUGCAAGUGCUUUGGUUAUUGUUCAACUGGUUGUCUCUCCCAUGUGAGUUAGAGUAUGUUCUACUGAGCUUCUAAUUAGUUAUCUCAAUAUCUUGGCAUUGUUCAUUAUUCGUUUCGUGUGCGAAAUUCCAUUGAAGAUGAAAAUUCUGAUUAUAAUGCAUCUCUUGAAGAUUUAUUCAUUUUCCUUACUGUUAGGACAUUAAAUGUAUGGUUAAUUUUGUAUUAGUUUACUUCAGAUGUCAAUUCCAUUGGGCAUUGUUAGGGUUUCUCUAUUAAUUCUCUUUUCAUUGUAAUGUUGACAACAAUAUAAUUCUCAACUCUCUAUUUUUUAUCAAACUUUGAUAAUCAUAUAAUUAGAAGUUAUUUCUUGUUAAAGAAAAAAAAAUAUUGAUUCUGAUAUAUCUAGAAUUUGCUUGACAGUGAGAAAAGUGGAAGGGAGAUUAAUGUCCAUGUCAAAACUUGAUUUGAGUGUCAAAGAUUUGCUACCUUCCUAUAUUGAAGAAGACUUCGUUCUAACGGACAGAGUUGGUUCUGACAUUAACAAUAAAUUUACCGACACCGCUUCGACUCAUUUUCGUAAAUCCUACUACUUUUUCUUUUCCUUUUCCAUUUGGAAGUUGUAUCAAUUAAAACUUUGUAGUAAGUGAGAAUUAAGAUCACCUGAUAAGCCCAUUUUUAUUUACUUGUAUUUUUUAAAAAGAAACAGAUAUUUUUAUUGAGGUAUGGAACGAGACUAAUGAUCAAAAUACAAUGAAAGAAAAAAUAUAAAGUACUGUAAUAAAUACAACAUAAAUACUAAGUAAGAAAAAUAAAAGCAUUCCAAUUUAAGCAUAAGUUUUGAAUGGAGAAGUCUGUGAAAAACUUGGAAAGAGAGCAACAGGAAGACGAAUGAUUAAUCUGAACAACUCCAAACAAUCCAUCCAAAGUGGUGAUCUAUCAAAAAAACACUCUGAUUCCUUUCAAAUCAAACUUCAGCAAGACAGCUUGAUAAGCCAGUUAUUGUUGUAAACGAUUUUGGUAUGCUGGAAACCAUUUCUACCACUUAGUAUAAUGCAGCAGCAAACAUACAUGUGAUCUUCCUUAAUGACAUGCCUCAGAUCCCAAGCAUCCUUUUAGGCAUUCAAGUCCUCUGCUUCUUGUGAUAUUACAACAUGCAUCAUUUUACACACCACAUAUUUUGCAAUAUGCAUCCAAUACCUACUAGUAUUUUUCAGCCAGAUGAAUAUGUUUGAAUAUGACUUCAUUUAUUGAGACAAGAGGGUCCACAGUAACAGAAAUUGGAUCAAAUUUGAAAGUGAUUGUACUUCAACCACUAAAAGCAACCCAUGUGAGUAUUUGGUGAAGUGGUUUAGCUUUAACAUCUGUCUCCUAUCUUUUGUUCUUAUCUCCUCUUCUUUCUCCUUCUAUAUAUACACUCAAAACAACCAGCUGAUCUCCAACUCAAAUCUUUCACAUAUUCUCUUUCAAGUACAAGCACAUUUUACCAUUUCCAGAUUCAUAUCAAGAGCUCAAUCAAAUUUAGACAUGGGAAUUCGUUUGCCUUCAGUCCUCCUCAGCGCCAAGCAAAUUCUCAAGAUGAAAACUGUUUCUACGAGAUGUCAGUCUGAUGUUCCCAAAGGCCAUAUUCCGGUAUAUGUUGGCGAAAACCAAAGAAAGAGGUUUUUGGUUCCCAUUUCUUACUUGAAUCAUCCUUCAUUUGUGAAUUUGCUUAGUAGAGCUGAAGAAGAGUUUGGAUUCAGCCAUCCAACAGGAGGUUUGACCAUUCCAUGCAAAGAAGAAGCCUUCAUUGAUGUCACUUCGAGAUUGCAUAUUUCAUGAAGGAUUGAGAACACAGAGAAUAUACUCUCGACAGUUUUGACAACUUUUCUUUUCAUUUUUUGUCUAUAGGAGAUAGAGUUGAAUAUCACUGUAAAGGGAACUUCAAUGUGUAAAGUGACACACAUGAGUUGCAAUGGAGUUGAAUUCUUUUGUCCACAAAAACUUGUGUUUCUUCUCUUGCGUUAAGUUUUUCUGAUAACGUAAUCAAGGUUACAACAUGUUUUCUUGAAAUGUGGAGCACCAAUUUUCAUAUGUUAAGUUAUGAGUUGUUAACAUUACAAGAUUUAAGUAAACUUUUCGAAAACAUUCGAAUAAAUCUCUCCGAAAAUCUCUGAUGCAGUAAAGUAAAACAAUGACAAACAUCGGCUACAAUGGAAGUAAAGUCUUAUUUUUGCAUUCAAAACCUUAGUGAUGAAUUAUCAUAUCAACUUCCGAGAUAGAACUUAACAAUAUUAUUACACAAAUUCGAGUUGUGAUCCUGCUCAUGAGUAAUGAAGUGCAUGUUUGAAAGUGAUUUAAAAAUUUUCUAGCCACAUAUGAGAGGAAUGUUAGAACGUUGAUAUAAAUAUUAAAUUUAUCCAUGAUCCAUUUGCUUAAACUUUUAAGUCACUCAAUAAUUUAAUACAAAUACAUUUGGUGCACUUUUGAGGUCUAUGCAAUGUAACUGACCUCCUCACUGCAAUUCGCAUUGAUUAAAAUCUCAUUCCAACUCGCAUGGUUCACGGCACUCAAUCUACUAGACAAGGACUGCUAAAUCUGUUAAUGAGAGCAAACAUAUUCUUUAAUAUAUAAUUUGAUGCUUAUGCCUUUUUUGGUUAUUUCUCAACCGAACAUCAAAUUUGUUACAAAGUUGAUAAAUAAAGAAAGGGAGAAACAUAGACAACAAAGAUCAACAUGAAGAUUUACGUGGGUCAAUAAGUGUGUUAACUACGUCCAUAGAUAAAAGAAGAGAUCAAUUUAUUAUUAACAAGAAAUAUAAGAUAACAAAAAUUGUAGAGUCGUCUCUAAUAUUAGAGGGUUUAUAUCUAUCACCUUUUUUAAAUCUUAGGGCUAAACACAUAAAUAACAAAAUGCAUAUACAACUUAGGUUUCGGUUUGUUGUCCUUGACAUCCUAUAAGAGCGUGUCAUCCUUGAAUCCUGACGUGAGAUCCUUGUUCAUGGACACUUUAAGCAUCAGAUAACAAAUCGGAGACAUUUUAGCAAAUUACAACCAUUAAUGGGGUCAUCCAUUCCAAUUCAGAUACAAGAAUAUUCUAUUCUUCCAUUUUCAUUGUCUUUCACUCUAUAUUGAAUCAUUUAAUUUGGUGUAACAACUAAGGUGCUUGGACAGUGGCUUGUGAUGAAUGGAACAAUUUGGCCAACAAAACAAGAAAAUCUUAUAUAAAAACAAACAUAAGCCAUAGAAUAUCUGCGGAGAGAGAAGGAUAAUAGGAUCACAGGAUCGGUUUUGAUUAGUUAGGCAAAGCCAUGUGGAAGUGUCCACUCAAAUACCCAACCACCAAACUCCAAUACCACACUUUGAAAUUAGAUAAGCACCAAUGCUUUCAAAGCUCUUUCUUCAUAUCUCUAUAAAUAUAAACAUACUAUGAGGCUGAAACACCAAAUUCAACUGUUAACUUCCUCUUCUACUUGCUUCUGUACCAAUCUGAACAAAACUUCAAAUCUUUCUUAGUCUUUCAUCAUAACACAAAUGGGGGUUCCAUUACUAUGUUUGGUUCCUCAUGCAAAGAAAAUCUUGAAGAUGCAGUCAAGUUUUACCAAAAACCAACUGGAUGUUCCAAAAGGCCAUGUGGCGGUUUACGUGGGAGAGAUUCAAAGGAAACGGUUCGUGGUUCCGGUAUCUUACUUAAACGAUCCAUCGUUCCAACAACUGCUCAGCCGUGCAGAGGAAGAGUUUGGCUUCCACCAUCCCCAUGGGGGUCUAACAAUUCCUUGCAAAGAAGAUGCCUUUGUUGAUCUCACUUCUAGAUUGAAAGUAGCUUGAAGGAUGAAGAGUAAAGGGCAAUCUGUCAUUUAUGACAAUAUUUUUCUAUUCUUUUUUCUCCAUUCACUUGCUUUUUGACUUGCAAGAGAAUGUAUUAGAUUAGAGUGCCUCCUUACUUGUAUGUGAGUGGCAUUGUAAAGAGAAAUUACUUACAGAAAUUGUGAUUAUGAAAAAGUUUAUACAGAAACAAUUCAGCAUCAACUUCUAUGUGAUUUAUUUUUGUUCACUAUAAAUUCUGACUUUUACUCUGCCAAAUGAAAACUCUAACUGAGUUGAUGUAUAGACAAUUUUAAAAGAAAAUACUAAGGGUUUAAAGUGGCUAACCUAUAAAAGUUGAGGGAUUUCGUUGAUACAAUUAUAGGUCCCAUAUGAUGUUUUUUUAAACGAUACUACUAAAUAUGCUUUGUUUAGUGGAGAUUCUAAGUGCUUUGGUUAUUGUUCAACCGGUUGUCUCUCCAUAUGAGUUAGAGUAUGCUCUACUGAACUUCUAAUUAUUUGUCUCAUAAUUUGGACAUGGUUCAUCAUUCAUUUCAUGUGCGAAUUUCUACAGAAGAUGGAAUUUCUGAUUAUAUUGUAUCCCUAGAAAUGUUUCAUGUUUAAAGAUUUUAUUUUUCACUCUGAUAUAUUUAGAGUUCUCUUGAUAGAGAGAGUGGUAGAAAAAUGUUCAAAUUUAAUUGAAAUGACAAAUGGAUUUGCUGCCUUCAUAGUGAAGAAGACUUCAUUAUAACAGCAGAGAGUUUAUAGUUCUGAUAAUAACAAAAAAAACUUAAAAGAAUCUACUUCAGCUAAUUUGUGUGGCUCCUAAUGUUUCCCUUUUUUCAUAUGAAAUUUUAUGAAUUAAAAGUUUGAAUUAAUAAUUAUAUCAAUUUAUACAUUGAACUUUUGUAAGUGCAUCAAAUCCAAAUUAUUGCAAUAGAAUCAAGUUCAACUUCCAAUAAAUCUCAAUUAUAACUUACUAAAAGCAGAGAGCUCUACUUUUGCAUAUCUAGUGUGAAGAAAAUAUGUAAACCUCGAAUUGCUUUUAGUACAAAUAUUUUCAAAGGAAAGGAAAAGAGACUAAGGAUCAAAAUAAAAUGAAACAAGAAAUGAAUAAAUAAUAAAAUAAAGUACUAUAACAAAUACAACAUAAAUACUAAGCAAGAAAAAUACAAGCAUUCCAAUUUAAGCAUAAGUUUUGAAUGGAGAAGUCUGUUGAAAAAUUGGAAAGGGAGCAACAUGAAGACGAAUGAUUAAUCUGAAUAACUCCAAAUCAAUUCAUUCAAAGUGCUGAUCUAUCAUAAAAAACACUCUGAUUCCUUUCAAAUCAAACUUCAGCAAGACAGCUUGAUAAGCCAGUUAUUGUUGUAAACGAUUUUGGUAUGCUGGAAACCAUUUCUACCACUUAGUAUUAUGCAGCAGCAAACAUACAUGUGAUCUUCCUUAAUGACAAGCCUCAGAUCCCAAGCAUCCUUUUAGGCAUUCAAGUCCUCUGCUUCUUGUGAUAUUACAAUAUGCAUCAUUUUUACGCACCACAUAUUUUGUGGUAUGCAUCCAAUACCAACUAGUAUUUUUCUGCCAGUUGGAUAUGUUUCAAUAGGACUUCAUUUAUUGGGACAAGAGGGUCCACAGUAACAGAAAUUGGAUCAAAUUUGAAAGCGAUUGUACUUCAACCACUAAAAGCAACCCAUGUGAGUAUUUGAUGAAGUAGGUUAGCUCUAACCUAUAUCUGCUAUCUUUUAUUCUUAUCUUCUCUCCUUUCUCCUUCUAUAUAUACACUCCAAAAACAAACAGCUGAUCUCCAACCCAAAUCUCUCACAUAUUCUCUUUUAAGUACAAGCACAUUUUAUCUCAAUCAAAUUCAGAGAUGGGAAUCCGUUUUCCUUCGGUCCUCCUCAGUGCCAAGCAGAUUCUCAAGAUGAAAUCUGUUUCUAUAAGAUGUCAGUCUGAUGUUCCCAAAGGCCACAUUCCGGUGUAUGUUGGAGAAAACCAGAGAAAGCGGUUUUUUGUUCCGAUUUCUUACUUGAAUCAUCCUUCAUUUGUGAAUUUACUUAGUAGAGCUGAAGAAGAGUUUGGAUUCAGCCAUCCAACAGGAGGUUUGACCAUUCCCUGCAAAGAAGAAGCCUUCAUUGAUGUCACUUCUAGAUUGCAUAUUUCAUGAAGGAUUGAGACCAUAGAGAAUAUUCUCUCAAUUUUGUUUAUAGAAGAUAAAAGUGAAUACCACUGUAAAUGGAAACUUUGACACACAUGAGUUGCAAUGAAGUUAAAUUCUUUGUCCACAAAAAACUUGUGUUUCUUUGCCUUGUGUUUUUCUGAUAAUUUAAUUAGCAAGGUUACAAUUUUUUUCUUGCAAUGUGGGCACCAAUUUUCAUAUGUUAAAUGAUAAGCUAUGAAAAUAACGAGAUUUAAGUUAACUAAUCGGAACCAUCCAGGUAAAUAUCUGGACAGGGAAAAGAAGAAAUCUGUGUUUACAAUGGAAGUAAAGUCUUCUUUUUGCAUUCAUAACCUUAGUAAUGAAAUAUCAUAUCAACCACCUUUGAUAAUCAAGAGAGACCUAAGAAUAUGAUUAUAAGCUAACGAGUGGUGGUAAAGUUAGUUUCAAAACAGACACUUCGGUUCCCACGUUUGCUGAGUUAACUUUUUUUUUUUUUUGAUAAGAGACAAGUAUAUUCAUAUAACAAAACAGAACAGUCUAAGGGCGAGGGACAAGAGGGCCCUCCCCGGAAGAAGCUAGGGAACUAAGAAAUGAUAGCCUUCCAAUUGUUGAAAAUCAUAGAAAGGCUAUAAUUACACAAGUGUUUGGUGUAAUUCGUACUCCACCAAGAAGCUGUGUGUUGACGUGGAUGGGAUGAAAGGCUAGUUCAUUUAAUUACAUGAAAAAAAUCUAUUUAAUUGGUUAGAACAUAUAUUAAAAUUUUAACUUUUAUUUAACUAAUCCUUGAAAUUUAUUCAAAGAUAUGAUUUAUGAUAACUGUUUUCUGAAAUGAUGUUUCAAGCUGUACUGUGUUUGAAUGAUUUACUGAUGAAAGGUGUGGUGCUCAGAUAUAUUCAUGUAACUUUGAAUGAGAACGUAAAUGAUAACCCCAAGGAAUUUUGGUGAAUUUAAAUUCAAGAAGUGGCACAGUGUUCUUACAAGACCAUGGACUGUCUAUUUCUAUUUUAUGAUUACAGCUCUACGUAUCUCCUUUCCACUAACAAUUUACAUGGAGAAACUACUCUACAUUGAUGCUCUACUCUCAAGUCUCAACUAUGGCAGAAAAAUGUACUCUGGCAAAACUGUGUGGAAGCUUGCUCUUUUCUUCUCUUUCAGGAAGUUUGCAGCCAGGAUGUGAGAUUGAUGAAGACAUCUUCUCUACAAGGAAUUGUCAAACCUCCAGUUGGAUGUUUAAAUCCAAAUUCUUCUUCAGCACUCUUGAGCAAAGCUGAAAAGGAAGGAUGGUUUAAGUAUGAUAUUGGAACCACAAACCGUUUUCUUUCAAUAUCUCCCACAUAGACUGCAAUAUGGCCUUUGGGAACACCACAUUGAUUUCUAGAAGAAACAUUAUGCAUUUUGACAAAUUGCUUAGCGUUGAGGAGAAGUGAAGGUAGUCUGAUUCCCAUGAUUUCUUUUGAAAGGGUUUCUCCUUGAUGCAGAUCUAGUAGUUGGGAAGUGUUGUGCUUGAAUGAGGAUGUGUUUGAAAUUUGAGUUGGAGAUUGAAGUUUAUUGGAUCUGUAUUUAUGGGUUCAGAAUUGAGAAGUGAUGGGAAGAAAACAGUGUAAUUGGGUGUCUAAGAGGGCCUACUUCAUCAAUGCUCACAUGGGAUGCUUAUUCGGUUUGAAUACACACACUUCAUCAUGUGCUCUAACUACUGGUGAGCAGUCCAUUCGUUCCAAUUUUGUACAGUUAUAGGCCAAGAUAAGAGGCCAAUAAAACUUCUAAACCAAAUUUGAUGUCGUGGAAGAUCAACUGAUGACAAAGUCAUGUGACAAACUUCCAUCAUCCGUCCCUGCCUGCAUUUCUAAUCUGACUGGAGAAGAAUUGUAUACUGGAGGGUACCAAACUGGAAUAAAUUAUCGUUGAAAAAGACUAAUCAAUAAAUGGAUUCCAGCUCACUUGUAAAAUUUUCUUUCAGACAAGAAUAAUAUUGGUCUCCAGCAUGCUAUAAUCUUAGAUGUUUACCAUUUAGGAUUGUCUAAUACAUUUUCGCUUAUGUGUGAUAUGAGAUGCGUGUAAUGUUUGUCCAUAGGUCUGACGCGUCUAUUACAUGCAGUCAAAUUCCUUUCCUUACUCAUUAACUAUCUUUGUCUAAAUUGGUCUAUGCAUGUCCCUUUUCUCCACUCAUUUCGUUUUCUUGAUAUCUUUUGUUAGAAGCACUUGUGCUGAUACUAUAUAAAGAGCCAAUAAGAUUUUAUAUGCAAGCUGCAUAUUUUCUGAUAAAUUCUUGUAUUUUACGUUUUUCCUCCUAAUGGCAUACCAGAAGAUCGGGUGGCUUCUCCAGUUUAUGUUACUUUGAAUGCAGACUUUAAAUGCGACUUCCAUUCUUCAGAAGGAGUAGUGCUUCAAGUCUAUGGAAGUGAGCAAGAGUUGUUGGGGAAGAUGGGAGGCAGUUUUUCAUUCUUGAACCAGCUGCUCUUUUAGGAUAUGGUCGCUCAUUCAGGAAUUAAGCCAAGAUAUGGAAUGAUUUAGAAAUUUACAUAGCAGGAAUCUCAAAGUUUCAAACUAGGAACAACAGACUUGAAAGUGGAGCAUGAUUCUACCAUGGAUUAAGGUUGAUUUUGACAGUGACCUGCUCUUGAAGGUUGACACAAUUACUUGGGUCCAGGGAAACAGAGAUCGGCUUACUGUUUUAUUUGCUUUAACGCUGAAAAGUUACAUAUGCUUUUUCUGAGAUUUUGUCAAUUUGUUCAGAGGUCAGUAUUCAUAGUUGAUGGAUAAAGCCGAAAAACUGUAUGCGAGAUAGGUAGACAUUCUUGAAUUGAGAAAAAACUGAAGUUGGAUGGUUUUCAUUUUGAGCUCCUAACGAUCAGUAUGGAGGACAUGUUUACUGAGCAUUCUCAAGUCUUAAAUAGUAGCAAACACUACUAGGAAAUCUUUAUCGCAAGAGCUUGAUUUCAACAAAUUCAGUGACAAAAAGGCAAGAUUAAGUUGUGGCAAAUGAUUGUAGGAUUCUAGAUGAAGCAUCAAAAUAAUUUUCUAUCUAAAAAGGAAUGUGAUCUUGAUAUUAUAUUAUACAAUUCUCAAAGGAACGGAACAUAAUUCAAUGCAGUUGCUUAUUAAGAAGAAACAAGAGCAAACUACUGAUCGCAUAUGAAAAUGACCAAUUUGUUAUCUAAUAUCUUCUUGUCCAUUCCCAUCCGUAGGUUCAAAAACUUCACAAGAUAUGUUGUCUGGUGUAAAACGUGAUAUAUUAUAUCUGACAGAAUUUGGAUGUUCGGCUUAUGCUCGCAAUAAACAAGAUAAGUGACCAUGGAGCUGAAAAGAUGCGUCUACCUGGGGAUCGGGUGAUGUCAAAGGUAAGCUCUGGUAUCUGAAGAAAGAAAAGUUGAGGUUCUUUGUUCAUUAAAAUCCCAAUGCCAGUCAUAAAUUUAAUUUAUAUCCACUGUGAAAAUGACAGAAAAAGCUGUGGGGUUUUUUGCGACUGUGCCAUGACACCAUGUUGACCAAAGAGUUCUUUGUAUGGAUUGCAGCAAUCAUUCAAAGGUGAGUGCUUUUGUGAUAUAAAAAGGAUCUUCAAGAAGCCUUUAAGAUAGCGUCAAAGUCAUUAACCAUCUAUCUUUAGCUCCAUGCUUGGUGUUUGAGUCCAAGUUCUUUCGUACUAAUUGGGAUAUUCCCCCUCUCAAUCCUUAUUGAGACUUCUUUCCAAUGAAGAAUAGCCCUUUUUUGGGCCGCCUUAUAGCAUGACCAAUUGUAAUUGCAUAAUAUAGUGAUGGGACCUCUGGUCAUUCUGCUAUUGAUGUCUCAACUUUUUACUUUCUUUAUAUGUUCUAGCUCUCGAGAACUUUUUGAAGUUUGCUAAGCGUGAGAUCACUAAGGUCCUGUUUGAGAAUGUUCCGGUUUCUUAUUCAUGUUUCUCAUUUUAUAAGAAACAAACUUGUUUGAUAAUUUCUAUUUUUUGUUUCCAAAAUUUAAAAAUGUUUUUAAAAUUGAGGCUGAAUUUCCGAAAUCACUAAAAGUGUUUUUUCCCAAUCCCAUUUCUGUUUUGCUAUUUAUAAUGCCACCCUGUUAGGUGGCCAUAUGAGAAACUUUCCUCUGCUUGACUUGGCAACUCUCAACGUCCAUAGAACUUUAUGAACAUGCCUCUAAGAAUUGACAUUUUUGACUCGGUUAUGUACUUUGACUGGGAACUUUAGUCCUGGUCUGCAAUUUGGAAGACGUGAGCCUUUGGAGUCCUUUGACCAAGACAUCGAGUCCAACAAUGUAGCUGACUGCGCUUUCGUGGAAAGGCAAUCACAUGGAUGUUCUAUCCUUCCAUUUUCUAUAUAAUGCGCUAUCUGUUAGCAUUUAAUUCAUAGUGAAGCUUGGACAGUGAUUUGGCUGUACAUAACUGAACAACUUAGCCAAUGAAAAUGGAAAUUUAUGGUGUAAGCUUCUAAGAAUCUGGUGGAUGAUAGAAAGAAAUUAGUGCUUUUCCAAGUUGAACAAAACCAUGUGAAGUGGCCUAUUCAAAUACCCAACCACCUGACUUCAAUACCCCACUUGGGCAUUUGAAUACCAUCUUCGCCAACGAAUCUCUUAAUUACAAAACUAUAUAAAUAUGGACAUCAAUUGAGCCUUCAAACACCAAAUUCAAACUUAGCUCAAGUCUUGAUUUCUCUUCCAGCCCUAUACCAAUCAGAUCGAAGCUUUAGACCACUGGGAGAGCCUUUCUUCUCAAGCAAUGGGGAUUCGAUUGCUAUCCUUGGUUCCGUAUGGCAAGCAGAUAUUAAAGAUUCAGUCAGGAUUUAUCAAAGGUCAAUUGGACGUGCCAAAAGGCCAUGUAGCUAUUUAUGUAGGAGAGAUCCAAAGGAAGCGGUUUGUGGUUCCGAUAUCUUACCUAAACCAUCCAUCAUUCCAACAACUUCUUAACCAUUCAGAGGAAGAGUUUGGCUUCCAUCAUCCACAAGGGGCUUUAACAAUUCCUUGUAAAGAGGAUGCCUUCAUUGAUCUCACUUCUAGAUUGCAAAUAUCUUGACGGAUGAAGAGCAAAGGGCAAGCUUCCACUUUUUUACAACCUUUUUUCAACUCGUGAGUUUUUUUGACAUAUGCUAGAAUGUUGUAGAGCAGACUACCUGUAAAUGAGUUCCAUUGUAAAGGUGCUUUUACCAACGGGAUUAUAAUGAAAAAUAGACCAGUUGAGCUCCAAUUUUUGUAUAGCUUAUUCACUGGUGCUCUACCUGUGAUGGAGAGUCCAAGCUGUGGGAAAUUUUGUUUUUUUUUAUUUAUUUGUUAUGAAUAGCCUAACUAAACUUCAAACUAACCAAAUCCAAGAAAAUUUGAUUGUAAUGCUAAUAUGUGAACAAUACUACUCUUAGUUGGUUUAAUAAACACCAAAUAUGGUGAAAGAAACAUUCGACUUUACCCUAUGAGGAAAAUUAGCUUUAUCGGUUCUUAGAUCUUCAGCAAUUCUUAGAUUUAACAGAUUACAUUAUGCUUUAAGCUUCAUGAUUUUGAUCAAAUUGUAAAGAGGAAAUUGUGACAAAAUCUUCUUUCGAUGACUCCAUUUUUCCGAUUCUAUAUCCAUAUUAAGCUGAACCUAUCUGGGAGUCUGUUCGCCUUCAGCUGUCCUCAAUGCCAAUCAAAUUCUCAUAGUGCAGGUUGUUACAACUAAAAAUAAAGCUCAUGUCCCCAACGCUCACAUUGCAAUUUGUGCUGGAGAAAUUCAAAGGAAGUGCAUUUUGGUUCCCUUAUAAUAUUUGAAUGAAUUAUCCAACAUACGUAAUCAAAUAUUAUUAAUGUUGAGGAGUGUAGAUAUGACCAGUCCGUGGGCGCUUUGAUAGUUCCUAGCAGAGGAUUUGCUUUGAUCUUACUUCAAGGCUGCACAGUUCUUGAAAGAUUAUGAAGAAGAGAAUUCCCUUAGCUACUUUCUCACCCAGUUUUAGUAAGUCAGAGUAGAAUAUGGUUAGUUAGUCAGUCAGCUUACGCAAGAUAAUGUCUAGGUUGUUUUAACUGGACUUUACAUCGUAAUAAAAGUUAAACUUUAUCAUAAAUGAAGUUUGUUCCGAUCAUGGAUUUUGGGAUAUCUAGUUUCCCUAUGCUUUGUUAUCAUGUAAUUAAAUAAGUGUAGGUCGUAAAUAAGAUAAUCAGCUGUAAAAUCUUCAAUGAUUUCAUUUUAUUCUCAUUAAAUCAGCUUUUAUGUAAUGAGUCUUUCUCCUAUAUAAGGCUAUGUAUCUUGCAAUUGAAUCAUCGGAAUGCAAAAUAUUCUAUUCCUUUCAAGUCUCGGUGGUAUCAAAGUAAGUGAUCUAGGAAGGUUCCAUGUUCAAACCCCUGCUAUGUUAUCCUUCCCAAUUAAUAUUGACUCCCACUUUUUGUUGGGUUCAUAUUUCAAGCUCACAAGUGAAGGGAAGAGUUAGGUAUUAAAUUUUCCUUCACUUAUUAGUUUCUUUUGGUCCUACGAAUAAACUGACGUGAAAGAAGCAAGAUUGCACCUUCUACCUAUCGUUCAGGAAAAGUGAGAUUUGUAGAUAUCCCAUUGAAAAUGGUGUGCAGAAGCUUCCUUGAAAUUCCUACAACAGUAACUAUAUCCGCAAGAUCAAACAGGAUUUGACACACGAAGGUGUAAGAAAAUAGACAAAUGACGAUUCAAAGAAAGUAGUAGUAUUAACAUCAGAAUUCCAUCCAUCAUCAUUCCCUCAUUAAUAUGCAGCUGCUUCCAGCUAUAAAAUUUGUUUUAAGUGGAUGAAACUAUUAGAUUUAACAAAUAAAGACAUGAUUAGAUGCUUAUUAAAUGGUUUGUCUUUAUGUAUUAGGCGUACGUGUACUUGGCUUCAGCCUCUGGUUUACAAUAUGAUGCAUUCGGUACCUCUAAUAUGAUCCAUUUGGUGUCUCUUUUCCAAAUUAAAUUAGGAUAUUGUACCAAUGAUGUAACCAUUUCUCUUACUAUGAAAGGUGAUCUUGUCUCUGUAACUUGAUGCCGUGUUUCUUUUACCUAACACACUCUUUGUUUAAGCGUUCAAUUCACCGAACCAAGUUUGGUUGCUGGAAUGGACAAUCACUUGAACCAAACAACUGGGCUGACAUUUGAUACAACUAAGAGAGAUGUGAAAAUCAUUUCUAAGUUGAGCAGAUCUCUAAAAUAGCUCUCUUAGAUACCUAACCACCUGUCUUUAAGUGGCCAUUAGAAAAGCACCAGUCACCAACAAAACUAUUUUCUCUAAUACUAUAAAUAAAGAACAAACAACAAACUGAGCUUAAAACACAUUCAUUCCCUAGUUUCACUUUUAAUUUUGGUUCUCUACACCAAUAGAACAAGCAAGCUUUCCAAUGGGGAUUUAUUUGCCAUUCAGAAUUCUUUUUGUCAAGCAAAUUUUAAAAGUGCCAUCAGGUUUCACCAAAAACCAGUUAUCUGUCCCAAAAGGUCAUGUAGUAGUUUACGUGGGAGAGAUGCAAAAGAAACGAUUUGUUGUUCCGAUAUCAUAUUUGAAUCACCCUUCAUUCCAACAACUGCUUAAAUACGCUGAAGAAGAGUUUGGCUUCCAACAUCCUCAAGGGGGUCUUACAAUUCCUUGCAAGGAGGAUACCUUCAUUGAUCUCACGUCUAGAUUGCAAGUUUCUUAGACAAUGAAGAGCGAAAGGGAAACUUAUUGAGUUUUGACAUUCUUUUUGUUCCUUGACUCAUUUGUAAACUAAUACUAAAAUGUUUUAGGAAGUCCAUGCCUUCCAGAAUGUGAAUGAAUGGCAUUGUCACGAGAUUUUAAGUAAUAUAUGAUUAAUUAAAAUGCAGAUAUUUAUAAUUCAUGAUGUGUGCUUGUAACUUAUUCUUGUCCUAUAUGCGACUCCUGCUUUGAAGGACGGUUAACUAACUGUAUCUCUUGGCCCUAAACAUUUUCUAGCAAUUGAUAUCUGACUUCUUGGCAGAAAGCAGAGGAUGUUCAAGAAAGAAUUGCAUUAAAAUAGUUUUAACAAGUGUAUUCAACAAAAUAGUUGUAAUUUGAGCACUAUUCUCAUUUAAUUAUAUCAGUAGAAAGUCUUGUUUCCGUUUCAAGAAAACGAAUAGUCCAUACUAUUCUAACCUACUUUCCCAUUAUACUUGCGCCUCUCUCCCUCUGAUUAUAGGAUUCUUUCUUCAAUCAACUGGAUCCACAAGAGUAAAAUUAAUAAAGGACAUAAUUUUCAUUUAUAUUUGUAUGAAGCAAGAAAACUGUGAUCUUUUUUUAGAGAGAAACAACUUCAUUGAUAAAUGGGAGAAGACUGACUAUGUAUCUUAUCAAUAAAUAUCAAAUGGGUACAUAUGGUUAUGGCUUUGGGUUUGAAUUAUGAAAAUUUUGAGUUUUCAUGCUUCUUAUGUAAGGGAAUUUUGAGUUUAACGAUAAACAUUCAUCCUUCUCGGCUCUCAGUAUCGGAUAAUUCUUAAUGACAAUGGUGUCCUUUCAAUGAGAACAUUUUUAAUUUUCUGAUUACUAUACAUCUUACGAGUGCCAUCAGGGAAAAUGAUUUGUAAUAUGAUAUAUCCAAAUAACUUUUCAUGGGAAUUGAAUGGAAAAACUUAAAAAUUUAUGAAUGUUGAAGAAUUCACCAAGAAGGGAAGUCCUUUAGUAAGAUAAUAUGACUCUGUAUUUCUGUUUCCAUGUUUACAGAUUUGAAUUGUAAGUUGUGUAAAUGAUGUUCAGGUAGAUGGGCAAUGUGCUAUCACCUUUCAGCUACCCGAUCAUUAACACUUUGAAGCUAACUAUACAUUGAUUAAUGAUUUCUACUCUCAACUAAGGGGAAAAAAUGGAGGGAAUCUGACAAAAUUGUGUGGACAAAGGUUUUUCUUCUCCCUUUCAGGAUAUUUGCAGCCUGGAUGUGAGAUUGAUGAAGACAUCUUCUCUGCAAGGAAUUGUCAAACCUCCAGUUGGAUGUUUAAAUCCAAAUUCUUCUUCUGCACUCUUGAGCAAAGCUGAAAAAGAAGGAUGGUUCAAGUAUGAUAGUGGAACCACAAACCGCUUUCUUUCAAUAUCUCCCACAUAAACUGCGAUAUGGCCUUUGGGAACACCACAUUGGUUUCUAGAAGAAACAGUAUGCAUUUUGAAAACUUGCUUGGCAUUGAGGAGAAGUGAAGGUAGUCUGAUUCCCAUGACGAAUUUUGAAAGGCUUUCUGCUGGAAUGGAGAUUAGAAGUUGGGAGAUGUUGUACUUGAAAUGAGGAUGUGUUUGAAAUUUGAGUUGAAGAUUGAAGUUUAUUUCAUCUGUAUUUAUAAAUACAGGAAUACAGAAGUGGAGAGAGGAAAAUAGUGUCAGGUAGGUGUUUAAGAGGGCCUACUUCAUGAAUGCUCACAUGGGUUGCUUUUUGGCUUUGAAUACAUUCACUUCCUCAUGUACCCUACCUACUGGUGAGCAGUCCCACUCGUUCAAAGGAGGUGAAGUUAUCGUCCAAAAUAAGAGGUCAAGAAAAC